rnacentral:lncRNA from 1 species
UCCAUGUGAGCUUUAGGUUUUGGUAAUAUAGCAUUAUCACCAAUGAUAACGUGAUAUAAUGACAAGAUAAGCUUUAGUAGACUUAUUGGCAAUUCACAAAGCCGGGAUAUAUUCUACUCAACUAUUUCAGUAGUGGACUAAGCUGGAAAGUGAUUCCUCGUGGAUCGAUCCCCUCUAUUGUUGAACCUGGCGUGCAGAGAAAACUUGUCCACCUGCUUUGUUUUGUGAUUGGUUGAACAAAAGAGAGAACAAUCGAUGUGAUGCGCAAUAAUUAAGCAAUGGAAUUUUUAGGAAUCACCUUUUCCCCUGGACAGGUACUUUUGCUAGUCGUGUAUUACAGAUAUGCACCAAUGAUGCAGCAGAAGAGGUGGCGCAGAAGUUAAAAAUGUAGUUGUUUUCCAUCAGUUGUUUUCCAUCAGGUAGAAUGAUGAUCCUGUUCCUAGAAGGUGCUCAUUUAUGACCCGCUAAUACACCUACGGAACGUAGAUUGAUCAAGAGGAAUUUAGCUGUAGCACUUUAAACAAAGGCUCGCUCUUUAAACAAAGGCUCGCUCUGACCAUUCUCAGUUGAUUCCACCCACAUAGAUCCAAACGAAAGUUAGCUAUACAAAUAAUUAAGUAAAAAGGAUUAAUUUAUUAACUUUUAGAAAACUCCCUUUUUCUACCCAAAUGGGCCUCCUUGAUCUCAGCUGCUCGUGGACCAUCUUUUCCUUCCCUCCAACUUAUUUGGUGAACAAAUCAAAGCAAAAAGUCUGGCAUCCUUUACUUUAUCGUGGGUGCACGUUGUACAUCUGUUCAUAUAUUGUCCCUGUAUGCAAACAGUUGUUAACUCAGGACAUGCCUAGAGUUGAAUAAAUGGUUUCUUGGUAGACAAAAGGGACUGCACGUGGAAAUUAAAAAAGAAAACUCGCAUGGAGCUCUUGCAAAAAGGAAUAAUAUGCACAUGCUAAGGGUAGUACAAUUAAUCAUCUCUUGUUUAUGUGUGUUUGCAGUAAUAAAAUCUUAAUGCAUAGCAUGCGAGUAUGACAAACGAAGGGUUACUGAUAUGAAAUUGUUUAAAUAUAUCAUAUAUCGCUUGACUGUGAGAUUCAUAUAUUAUUUACGUAAAUAGGAUGUCCCUCGACUUAUUUGCCUAAACUUUUGGGUUAAACAUUUUAAUAUAUUGUCAGUUUCUGCCUCAAUUUAUUUCGCGUGUGUGUCUACUAUAUGUCACUCUUAAUUCAGCUUACACAUUAGAGGGAUUAUUGAAAUAUAUCUCAUCAUAUGCUCUUAUAUACAUGUACUAUCCCUUCAUCUAUAAGUUUAAGUUAUUAUGUUGGACUUUCUAAUGAAAAAUAAUGGAUUGAGACGACUACACCUCACAGCAUGAAUAUGAGUGAGAGUAGGGCAAGAAAUUAAAUUGGUGAAAAAAAAGAAACAAAAACAAAAACGUACCUCCUGGCACCGUAACAUAAAAAUAGCCAAUGGACACGUGUCAACUCGAGACCUUAUAUAAAUGAGAGCGGGAGGUCGUUGCGAAGCAUAAUGGAUCGUGAUAAAAGCAGGGGAAGCAGAGUAUGAAGACGAUCCAGACUUCGCUGCAUUUAAGCACGAUAGAAAGCUGAGCAGUACAUGUACAUACCUUUGGGAGCAUGACACUAGAAAAGUACUGUGUACUUUCCCUCACCGUCAAUAUGGGUCCUCAACAUCUUUUUAGUUUAUUUAUCAUUGUUAGGUAAAAGGUGAGCAAGCCCCAAAUUUAGGGUUUGUCAUGAGGUUGACUUUAAGAUUUAUUGUCAUGGAAACAAGACAUUGCCGGAAAGACAGAAGAAACCAUUUGUAAAAACAAGAGAGAAGGGGUGGAGUGGGGAGAAGAUCAUUUUCUGAACUGAAAUGAUUGUCUAUUUUGACUCGCAACAAUUUCCUCAGUGAGGAGCAGUGGAUUUUGUAAGACUUUUGAAUUUUAUACAUUUGCUUAGAUAAUAGAAGUACUCAUAUUUACGUAGUUAAAAAGAGCGAUUAUCUAUAUCGUCUAUAGAAUCCAAUGUUUUGUGUAUUAAUAAAUUUCAAAAAAUAUUGACAAAUAUCAAUAAGUUUUUAGUUAAAAGAAGGAAUAAAAGCCAAAAAUCUUAAAUUAUGUGCAUUGUGACACAUUUACCCUAACCCAUUUUUGUAUGAAGGAAAAACUCCCAAACUUGUACCUAUGACACAAUUAUCCUCCAUCAAAAUUUUGUUAAUAAGCAUCAUUAAAAAUCUACUUACAUGGACAACGAAAGGCAAAUGGUGUUGACAUAGAGCUCACAUCACAAUAAAAUAAAAAUGGUAGUAAUAUCAUCGGACAAAUCUUUGAUGGAGAGUAAAUGUGUAACACGGAUACAAGUUUAAUAUUUUUGAUAUCAUAAUAAAAAAUUUAGAAUAAAUGUAUCACAAUAGGCAUAGUUUGGAGCUUUUGAUAUUAUAAAAAAAAAAAAAAAGUUCAGGAUAAAUGCUUAACAAGAUUAAGUGAAUACCCAAAAUCGUAGUCAUUAGAUAUAAUUUAAGGUUUUGGUGGCUUUUUUUCUCAAAAAAUGAUAAGUGACCUUUCUUUCUUGAGAUUAUUGGUGAGAUGACAAAUUGCAGAAAAAUUCUUUUAGCAUUCGUGUAUGAGAGAGGUAAACGAUUGAAAUGAUGAUGGUGAGCCCCAAUAUACAUGCCCUAUUUAGCUUCCUUUUGACGCCAAGACCUUAAGAAAAGAAUUUGACACUUAACUCUUUGAGAUUUGAGAACAUGUGGCAUUUUACACUUUCUUCUUGUGGCCGAGAAAAUGGAAAUAUUCAGAAUAUAUCUUUCUUAUCUUUCCUCGCGACCAAAUUUUCAAGAGGAAAUAUGCACUGUCGCUCUUCAAGUUUCACCCAUCCGCCUAAUUUAGUUCACCCAGCUCAUCAAAUCAAGGAUAUUAAAUGGGUUGGCCAAAUUUCUAGUUCAUGUGGGCUCAUUAAAAUGCUCAUAAUAUGACAUUUAUAAUGUUUUUUUAAGGGAUCGGAGUCAGUCAAUCCUUAUUUUUUAUACAAUAAAUAAUUAAUGGGGUUUUGUCAAAAUAUUGGUGUCAUCAAUCAUACCCAAUUACUUUACACAUUUAAAAUUUUUGUUUAAAAUUUUCCGCAUCAAUAAUGGUGUAUUCCUUUUACUAGCAAUAUAGAGAUUUUAAAUCAAAUUAGAGUUAGUUUCAAAUUUUUGUUAAAAUCAAAUUUUUGUUAAUUCCACUGACAUCAGAAAAUUUGUUCAAAUUUUUAUGCUUAUAUAUCUUCUAUAUUGGAACGUCCAAAUUCGAUUUGUUCUUUAUGUUUAUGGCCCAAAAAUAAAAUAAAAAUUGUGAUGUUCACUUCGCAAAGAUUGUUUUCUUUUUGUCGAUGAGCAGUCAGCAACAACUGAUUAAUAUAAAUUUUUUUUCUUGCGUAAGAUGACUUGGAAUUCUUAGUACAACACAAUAUAUCAAUUAAUUUAGUCAGAUCAUAGAUCUGACCAAAACCCUACUUGAACGAGCAUCUCAUGUGCCGGCUUGGUCUGUGACAUCCCAUGGCCGAUCCGUACAGGCAGCGCCACUGAUCUAUGUCUGAACAAUUGACGCGGACAAAUUAAUAGGUCAGAAUAUGGAGAAUAUCAAUUUUGCACGUUGCAUUUAAAAACUUAGGAAAUUUUUCUAUUAUAUAUUCCAAGGGGUUCCUCUUGUUUUUGGUUAAACUCAUUGCAGUCCAAAAUAAAUGGGUAUGCUUGCGUUGCAUAGUACAUAUAUUUUAUGUGCAUUUGAGACAUUUAGACGUGUCAAAAAUAGUACGAAUAUCGUUGAUUAUUGUAGAGUGGUUAUAAAAUGAUAGUAGACAAGUCCUUAUAAUUCAUAAAUCAGUUGCUUUUUUAUAAAAAAAAAUUAUAUCGCGUGUCACUGUCAUAAUUAGCUUCAAGAUAUCUUUUGGAUCUUAUGGGCAAUUACGAGUUUCUAGAAUAAAUAUGUUUUUCUUUCUGAUCUAAUUGUUGACUUGUUGGUCAAUUUGUCUAGCUUCGGAUCAUAGUUUGAAUUUGAAUCAAGCAUGAGAUUUAUCUUUUGACAUGUGUUUAUGAUACGCCGCGAUAAUCGGUGGGAGAAAUAAGUCACAUCAAGCAAAAGCAAAAGCUAUUAUUCUCUGAGAUUUUUUAAUGUUACCAAGAAUACAAAUUAAUGGUAGGUGAGAAUUCAACAUUGCAUCGAAAUUAUUUAUAAUUUAUAUGCUCCACGAGAUUUUUAGUUACGAGGCUAAACAAAAGUUUUUCAACACAUUUUUCUAGAGAUCCAUAAAAAUUCUAUAAACAAUUCAUAGAAGAAGAGCGGGAAGUCUCGAUAACCAUGAUAAAUUGUAAGUAUCAGAAAGAAAUUAUAGUUCUUAUAGACUAGAAAGGAUAAUUUUGAAUGAUUAGUUAUCGUAAUUAAUUAAAAGUCAAGUUCACUAAGAAAAGUGAAACAAGUGGAAGGUUAUUGAGGAUUAUUAAGUAGGAAGGGGUUGGGCGUGGAAGAAAGAUAAUUUUCUGAAUUGAAAUUAUUUUCUAUUUUGAUUGGAAAAAAGUCACUAAAAACCCUAAAUUAUGCACAUGAUGACACAUUUAUCAUAAAUAUUUUUUCAUGACAUAAAAAAAUCACAAACUUAUACUUGUAUGACAUAUUUAUGCUCCAUCAAAAUUCUAUCAAUGAGAACUCCUAAAUAUCUAUCUACAUUGACACCACAAAAGUAAAUAGUAUUGACAUGGCUAAAAGAAACUUUAUUUUUUAGUUGAAAAAAAUCAUCUACCGAAACCUUGAAGGAGAAUAAGUGUUUCAUAUAAGUACAAAUUUAGAGUUUUUUAUGUCAUAAGAAAAUAUUUAUGUUAAAUGUGUUGCAAUGAGUAUAAUUUGGAAUUUUUGAUAUCAUAAAAUAAUGUUGGGAUAAAUGUAUCAUAUGAGCAUAGGUCGGAGUUUUUAUGACUUUUUUUCCCAUUUCGAUUCGAUUCAUUUUCCUUCACGAGGAGCAAUUGAUUGAUAGCACGUCUGAUUGUGAUAAAAUUGCUAAGGUCAUACUUCUCUAGUUUAAAAUAACAAUUAUCUAUUACCUAUGCUGAAUGAUAUGAUUACGUGUUAAAAAUGCAGAUUUCUUGUGCCAGUAAAUUUCAAUAAAUGAUGAUAAAUAUGAAACAACCACUGGUUAAAAGAAUGAUAAGUGACUUAUUUUUUCCGAGUAGCAUGUUGAUAAUUUAACCAUAGUAUUAUGAGUAUCAGCUACUUGUUUAUAGCUUAUAGAUUACCAAUCUUUAUGCUAACUUACCACAUGUUAUUUGAAUGACCUGCUAACGCAUGUAACUUAUUAAUUCCAUCAUUAUAUUACCUACCUAAGUUAAAAUGAAUUAUCGACUUUACGUAAACAACCUAGUUAGUGCCACAUCAUUUUCUGGCACGGCAUUUCAAGGGAGAGUAAGGCCACGUAAGCACGAGGUGGACGAAUCAUGUUGACGCGUGGCAAGAAGAGCUGCAUCAGUGUUUGACUUGCUUGGGCGAGAAAAUAUUGGUUGCCCUAGACACGUUAGCUUUGCACUAGUCCACUCAACGUCGUCCCCUCUCCCUUUGUUAAUGUCUUUACUUUUUUCUUCAUUUUUCCUUUUUACUUCUUCUUCUUCCUCCUUCCACUCUGUCUCUCCCUUUGUUAAUGCCUCUGCCUUCGCCUUCUCCGUUGCCUAUGCCGACCCUAGUCGAACUCAAAUCUGUUGAUUCGAGGUCAAGCUGACCUCUAAAUCACAAAUUUAGGGCUUACACAAUCUUAGAUAAAAAAAAUGAGGCUCAAAUUCGCCAGUGGAACUCGAGCUCGACAAUGCAGGAUAGACAGCGGUGAGGUGGUGGUGGAAGGCGAUUCGCGGGAUUAAGCUGAUAGUGAGUCUUAGUUGAGGCAUUUCCUUCCAGGCGAAGUGAAAGGAGGAGGUCUCUCACGGACUGAAAGGACUGAAAGGAGGAAGAAGAAGAAGGAGAAGGAGAAGAAGAAAGGACAAAAAGAAAAAAGAAGAGAACAAGUAAAAACAUUGAUUGAAGAGAAAGAGAGGGGAUGCGUGGAACAGUGAAAGCAGGAAGAAGAAGAAAAAAAAAAGGAAAAAGGGGAAAAAAAAGUAAAAACAAUAGUUGAAGAGACAGGAUGGGAGGGUACAUGACAAGUGGGUCCCAAAUUGACACAUGGCGGGGGUUGAGUGGACUAGUACCAAACUCACGUUUCUACACUUGGACACCCAAUAUUUUCUUGGGCAUUUGAAACCCCACAUAGAGUGAAGCCUAGUCACGGUCGUGGGGCUCGGUCUUGACGUUUUGGUUCCAGAAGAUUCUUACAGUCUCGACUGAUUUAUGCAAAAUCUGUGGAUUAAUUUAUUUUCGUAUAUGUUGGUCAUGACAACUGAAUAAAUUCUAUUGGCAUUACCUGAUUGGAAAAAUCUGCAUAAAAUGUACAGAUUGAAGUGUGUGUCUUUUUACUGUACAUUAGGGACUCACAUUGUACAAAAUGUCAGAAUAACGUCCGAUCGAGUGGGAGUCCCCUAUCGGACUGACAUUUUCUACAAUUUGGUUAUUUAGCGGAAAUGAAAAGACCUAUUGAUUUUAUAUUUUUGCAUCUAAUCAACAUGUCUAAGUUAACAUGUGUACAAAAUCAUUGAGUAGUGUGUUGGGCAAUGAAAUGUCCUUUUAUUAUCUCAACUUUAAUUUAGUCUAUGGCAAUCUAAACUACGAAUAUCGAAACGAAAGGUUGAGUGGUGAUGUUCAUUUUCUAGCAAUUUUUUCUCUAUGAUUUUUUUGUAACUUUAUGGAUUAUUAAUUUUAGAGCGAAUGGAUCAUCAUGCAAGAAAUUUGAAAAAACUAUGGAGGGAAUUUGUCGAUUUUAACAAGUUGAUGUAUGUACAAAUUAUUUAUAAAAUGAUUCAUGGAUAAUCAAAUAUUUGACAUAUCUUCAAAGCGAAUGCCUUUUUUACCUACAAGAUGUUUUUGGUCCAUCAAUAAUUUGACGAAUUAUUAGCUAUUGACUAUAUUCUUCUUAGUUUUCGUUUUAGGCUUAAAUAUAGCGUCGGUGCUGUAGAAUUGCUAUUGGUACUUGUGGUUGAGAGUAUGUAUAUCGAUGGUUUUACGGAAUAGGAUGUGAAUUACAUGCAUAAAAAAGUUCUAUGCUCAUUGAUAUUCUUCCACUUUUUUAUUUGGAAAUAACAAAAAUAUAUAGGGAAAAUUACUCAAUUAGUCCUAAACCUAUUAUACAUACGUUAAUUCAAUCAUAACAUUUCAACUUUGCUAAUUGAAUCAUAAAUGAAGAACUUACCAAAAAAAAGUCUUAAACCUAUUGCACAUGUGUCAAUUCAAUUUUAAAUCUUUUAAUUUGGUCAAUUUAGUUUUAGACUUUUUAUCAAUUGAGUCAUUCUUGCCAAUUUUGAUCAGAAAUCGUUAACGUGAAUACUAGAUAUUCUAUGUGCUACAGUCAAAGAUGACUUCGACAAUGUUUAUAAUUUUUCAAAUAUUUUUGAAAAUUAUUAUUAAUUUUUUUUUUUCAUUUUGCCAAUGAUAGUUACUAAUGACUCUUGUCAACUACGAUAGCUUUGCCUCGGACUACCGCAGUUGCAAAGGCCCAUACCCAAACCUGGCAAGGGCCUUCACACCCUCGCCCAAGGCCUUUGUAACUAGUGAGGGCCUUGCCAACAGCUCAACGGCCAUGUGACCAUCACCAGCCACAAUGAAAAAAAGCAAAGAAAAAAUUGAAAGGAAAUGCAAAAUUCAAAUUAAUGAUAAAGAAUUCAGCAAAAAUUUUAAAAAUUGUCUAGAUCAAUUUGGAUCAUGCCAUGUAAGAUGAAUAGUGCUCGCAUCAACAAUUUCCAACCAAAAUUGGCUUAAAUGACUUAAUUGGCAAAUUGUCAAAAUGCUUAGGACUAAAUUGACCAAAUUAAAAAGGUUUAUAAUUAUUGAUAAAAGUGUAAUAGAUUUAAGAUUUUUUUUGAUAAUUUUUUUAUCCUAAAUCUUUGUGUAAAAUUCCAAUGUAUUCCUUCGUGUCAAUUUUCACUUGAAAUCACUAAUGUCGCGGUCCAGUCAUCGUUGAUUGUCCAAUGUCGCAUGUCGCGACAUCAAUGACUUCCAAUAAAAUUGAUAAGAAGAAUUACUUUAGAAUCUCGUGCAAAAGUUUAUGACUAAAUUGACAAUAUGUUAUACUAUAUGCUUUGCUACAAAAUGUUAGGCAAAUGCAAAAUCAGUAAAUUUAAUAAAGAGGAUAUAUGUAAACUUCACGUUGGACUCAAACGGGAUGAUCUUGCCUCGCUGGAAAUGUGAUCAUGAAACCAUUUAAAUAAGAACCAUUGUUGCAUUUCCAUUAUAUUUGAUCCACUCAAAUGUACACGUGGGUUUAUUGUAAGUGUAAUUCACCUUGUGGUUGAUUGGUCUUUGGAAGAUGCCUCACUGAAUUACAUCAAGAUAACCAAAUAUUAGAAUUUAAUGGAUAAAUGCACCAAAAGUUCUGAAACUUACCACAAAAAAUAAUAAUUGAGCCUUAAAACUUUCAAAUGGUAUAAUUGAGUUAUGUUAAGAGAAAAUGAAAGGGGAAAAAUCAAAUGUGCCAAAAAAAAAAUCUAAGAAAAAAUAAUUAAAUACGAACCUCCAAAUAAUUACAAAGCUAGAAUCAAAGCCGAACCCAACAGAGGAAAAAAACAAUAAAACUGAAGCUAUUCAUAAAAUCGGUCGGUUGUGCAUGUUCACGAAGAAGAUUAGCUUUUGCCAAGGGAAAGAAAUGUGCAACGUCGCUUGGGCCCCUUCCAAGAUCCGUUUCCUCAGAGAAGAUAAGCUUUUUCAAGACAAAGGUCCCCGAACUUCCUAGAAUAUUAGUGUCCUUUUUGGGUAUCUACCUAACCCCUCCCCCUCCAAUUUGCAAUAUUCUUUUGCCAGCCUCUUACAAAACAAGAGUAUACAUAAUUUAUUCACACCUUGGUCACACUAUAGUUAGAACCCUGAAUGUUUAUCUUUUGACAAUGUUAUUCGUUUGGACUGGAAUGAUCAUAAUUGGACCACAUCUUUUGGCUAAAUAAGUGGAAGUAUUAUUAUUAAAAUUUAGCAAGUGGUUGAAACGCAUGUAUCUUAUAGUUAUUUGAUUAAGUCCAACUGUAAAAGUUGGCAAUAUAAUUUUAUAAAGCACAUUUUCUAGGCGCUUCCUAAUGACAAAUUCCAAGAAACACAUGCGUGCACAUUUAGUUAUUCUAUGGCAGUCGAUGUCAUCUUAAAGUUAAGUGAGCAAUUUAUUUAUUUUUUGAAUAUUGCAAAGAAUUUACAAAGUUUCUUUUUAUAUUAUUCUUUUGGUCGUUACAGUUUACAAAGUUCACUACUUUAUUGAGCUCAAAUUCGACGACAGCAAUAGAGAGAUCAGUUGGUUGCAUUGCGAUUUUGAUGGAAUCCGAAGGGAACUUCCACUAGAGCUUGCGACCAUGGCCGCUUGAGUUUCAUCAAAUUCAACCAUGGCCGAUCAAGCUUGACCAUGUUCGAUCAAAAUAAAUGCUUGAGCAUGAUCGCGGCCUUGUGAGCUUGGUCUUGAGCUUGUGGUAAAGAUUGUAUUUUUUUUUUCUACAGAGUUCAAGUUCAAUUCAUGUUAGUUGAUUCUUUAAGAAAUCUCGGGUAUCCACCUAAUUUCUCCCAUAAAAUCCUGUUAAUUUGUCUUGUUGAUCCUUUUGGACCCAAGUUUGAUAUACCCAUAUUUGUGGUAAUUUCUUUCGUGAAAAUCAAUCGGGGCUUUUAAAUUCACAUUUUUUUUCUAAUGUGGCAUUUACUAGUACGUCACAUGUCUUUAAAAAGUAAUAUAAAAACGACACCAGCUUUUUCUUUUAGCCAAAAUAGACGGAAUUAGCGGAAAGACUUCGUUACAUCAAUUUGAUAAAGUUUUAAAACUGAAUUACACUUUAAAAAUUUGUAGGAGUCAAUUGCAUUUUUCUAAUAAAUUGUAGGACUUAUGAGUCACUUAUCACAGAGUUUAAAGAUAAUUAUAGAAAUUGAGAAAAGACUUCAUUCGACCUAUUCAUAAGAUCAGGUCGGAUGUGUAUGCUUACGAAGAACAUCAGCUUUUGCAAGGGGAAAGAAAUGUGCAAUGUCGUCUGGGCCCUUUCUUGUAUCUGUUUCCAUGAAGAAGAUCAACCGUUGCAAGACAAAGAUCCCCGACCUUUUUAAAAUAUGAAUUUUGUACAUUUGAACUAAUGAUGAAAUAAGUGUUCUUUUUUGGGUAUCUACUCAACCACUCCCCCUCCAAUUUGCAAUAUUUUUUCCCACCCUCUUAUAAAACAAGAGUUUAUUCACAACUUGGUGACACUAUAGUUGGAAUCCCAAAUGUUUACCUUUUGACUUGACAAUGUUAUUUGUUUGGACUGGAAUGAUCAUAAAUGGACCACAUCUUUUGGCUAAAUAAGUGAAAGUAUUGUUUUAAAAUUUAACGAGUGGUUGUAAUUAAAUGAUGUAUGUAUCUUAUAGUUAUUCGAUUAAGUCCAACUGUCAAAGUAGGCAAUAUAAUUUAAUAAAGCACUUUUUAUAGGUGCUUCCUAAUGACAUAAAUUCCAAACAACGCAUGCACGCACUUUUAAUUAUUCUAUGGUAGUCGAUAUCAUCUUAAAGUUAAGUGAGCAAUUUUUUUUAGAAUAGUGCAGAGCAUUUACAAAGCUUUUUUUAUACUUUUUUGGUCGGAACAAUUUAUAAAGUUCACUGCUUAUAGUUGUCGCGUUAUCUAGUAUAUUAAUUUUAGUGAUUGACGAAAAAUUAUAGCAAACCUACUCUUGUUUCUAGUAACUUAAAUUAUUAUAGUUAUAAUAAUAAUCAUGCCGACAAUCUCGUUCAAGAAGUAGAUUUAACCACGACAAAUCCGAGCUCUUUCUACCGCCAUGGUAGUUUCAAUCCAUGAACCCUAAACCUUGAACUCCUUUGUCGCUCUUCCUUCAUCCUCCCCUUUACCAGGUUUCUCGGCUUUCUUACGCUCGAUGGAUCAUCCAUCCGUUAUGCCCAAUCCCCAAAAGUUCUACCCAAUUUCCUCUUUUCACCUCCGCUUUAACCUCACCACAAGCUGAAUUUGGCUUCCGAUCCUCAUCCGUAAUCCUCCUUCCUUUCUUUUUCGUUGGCUACCCCAGAGCAUUAGAGGUGCUUCGUGUAUGGGUUUUUUCCGUAUCCCAACCCUUUGCUGUUGCAUGCAUCACUUGCCCUGUUCCCAACACUCCUUUUCUUUACUAAUCUCGCUGCCUUGUUUGAUGGUCUAAUUGGCGGAUUGAGUUUUGCAGUCAGUCUUUCAUCUCCAAGCUAUGGUUUUCUUUAUGGUCUUCUUCUUUAAUCCCUGUUCUCCUUGCUGAUGUUGCUCUGAUCUGUCGUGCUAUAAAUGGAACACCCCAACUUGAACGAAGACGCUCGCCUAGCAGCUCUAUGCCAGAGGUUGGGUCGCCUUUGGCCUGAAAAGCAAGUUGAAGUCUGCAAUGAGGCUGCCCCAACAGAGAAGUUAGAAGAAUGCAAACUUAUGUUGGUAUGUAAAAUCCUGUCGAACCCCUCGGUAAACUUAUAGGCUUUCCAAACUACUAUGAACCGUGCUUGGUGCAUGGAAAAUGUUGAAAUUUCUCACCCUGAACUAGGAUUAUACAUUGCUAAAUUCACUAAGGAAGCUGAUAAGCUGAGAGUUUUGGAAAAUGGACCCUGGCUGUUCCAAUAGCAUCUAGUAAUUCUCAAGCCUUGGUUACCGAACACACCCCUUCAUUGCUACGACUUUACAACAUGUGCCUUCUGGGUUCAGAUAUUUGGACUACCUUUAGAGUGAUGCACUAAGGAUAUGAUCAAUAGAGCAGUGAAACAUGUGGGAAGAGUGCUAGAAGUGAAAUUAGCAACCAGAGAUGGUACCUACAGAGCAGGGCGCGCACGGGUAGAACUUAACCUUCAAGACCCUUUGAAACCAGGCCAGCUAAUUUGACUACGAGGAAAAAGUAUAUGGUUAGAUUUUUGCUAUGAAAAACUAUCCCAUUUCAGCUAUUCAUGUGGAAUCCUUGGUCAUUAUGCUAUGCACUGCAAAAGUUUUCAUUACGAUGAAGAAAAAAUGGACAGUAGAGAACAUUGAUAUUAUGGCCAGUGGCUCCGCGCUGACGUUAAGGAGCACAACCCCUUUUGGGUAGCUUUUUAUGAGAAGAAUAGCAACCAAGAAGAUAUUGAAGAAAUCAUGCCAGAAACUCCUCUGCCAUCGAACCUCCUUAUGCAAGUGGAUUAGGUCAGAAACGAUAAGGGAAAGGCACCUGCCGAGCCCUCUCCAGAUAAACCUUUUCUUACCUUAGCUAAACCACUUCAAUGGCGACAGCAGUCAGGCCUUUCAAAAGGCAUUUUACCAAUUCUGGAUGCUACCCCUAUAUCAACAUACAUCCAAGAUCAGUCUCCAUGCACAAUCAGAGAUUCCAAAUAGAAGAAAAUAAAAAGUACACAACAAUCCCCAAAGCAAGUCCUACAAAGAAAGUAAAACGAUACAAUCCUUAUGAGCCGAAACCUCAUGGACUGGAGGACUAUGAUGAUUCGCAUCUGAUGGAUACUCCCAUUGUUUCGGCUGAAGAACCUAACAGAUGGGCUGUGGUGGCUUGCCCGAAUAAGCCACCCAAGACAAAUGAAGCUCAUUAGCUGGAACUGUCGGGGUUUAGGCAAUCCCCUGACAGUUCGAGCUCUAAGGGCCCUAGUGGCCCAUGAAAAGCCCUAGCUAGUUUUUUUGAUGGAAACAAAGAAUAAGAGUUCAGUGGUGACAAGAAUCCAAAAGAGCUUAAAAUUUUAAAACUGUUUACUUGAAGAGCCUAUAGGGACAGCAGGAGGUCUGGCAGUGUUUUGGAAUGACAGUGUAUCCAUAUCCAUUGACAAUCAAUCACCAUACUACCUAGAUGUGAUCUGCAGGGAUAAGGAAACUAGGUGAACAAUGCGUCUCACUUAUGUUCACGCCCCAUCACUUUACAAUCAACGACAACACAUAUGGGAUGAGCUACGACAUAUUAGCAACUAUAAUACUUUACCUUGGGUGUGUGUCAGAGAUUUCAAUGAAGUCCUUUACCAUUGGGAGAAAAUAGGUAAGCGCCUUCCGAAUCAAUAUCGUUUGCGUUCUUUUCGUGCUUUCAUCGAUUCUUGUUCAUUUAUGGAGGUUGCAAGUAAAGGUUGCGCAUAUACUUGGAUUAACAAUAGAGAGGGAGAUGAGUUAAUUAAGGAAAAACUGGACUGUGCUCUUUGUACAAUGGAAUGGCAUCUCGCUUUUCUAGAAGCUGAGGUGUUUGCAUUACCUGCCUUGGGUUCGAAUCACAGCCCACUAUUGCUUACAACUGACGCCAAAAGUAUCAAACGGAGAAGAAGAUUUACCUUUGAAGCUUUUUGGCUUCGGGAGCAAGAAUGCCGUCAGGUGAUAGUUGAUUCCUAGCACUCCAAUAUAAGGUCCAACCCUACAUUUACAGAGAAAAUCAAGAUGGUUUCAGGUGCCCUUGCUAUAUGGAGUAAACACAAAUUUACAAAUGGUAAUCAACAGAUCAUCUGUUUGAAACAACAACUCCAUAAUAUUAUUAAUCAGCAGCACAACCAUCGCGACACUGCAGAAAUGACUCGACUACAGAUGGAAAUUCAACAACUUUGGCAACAUGAAGAGCAGUAUUAGGCACUGCGAUCCUGCAUUAACUGGUUAAGAUGGGGCGAUAAGAACACCAAAUUCUUUCAUGCCUCUACUAUUCAAAGAAGACAGAGAAACCAGAUAAGUAUGCUACAGGAUGCAGAUCAGAAUUGGAUUCGCGAUCAGCAACAACUAAAGGACAUAAUCAUUUUACUAAUUUGUAUACCUCAACGGGGAAUCGUGAUUAUGGGCCUAUUUUGUUGCAAUGCCCUCGGAUGGUUAAGGAGCAAAUGAAUGAUACACUAAUACAAACUGUCACUCAAGAGGAAAUCAAACAAGCAAUCUUUCAGUUGGGAGCGACUAAAGUGCCAGGGUCGGAUGGUCUUAAUGGUCUCUUCUACCAGCACCAUUGGAACAUUCUCAAGGAUGAUCUACUCAACUUGGUUAAAGAUUUUUUCUCAUUGGUGUAUUACAACCUAAACUCAACCGGACAACUAUAACUUUGAUUCCCAAAGUACCCAACCUAGAUCGACUCGACCAAUACCGUCCAAUUAGCCUUUGCAACUAUGUGUACAAGAUCAUUUCAAAUGUAUUAGCUAACCGUCUCAAACCUUGGUUACCGGAGUUGAUUUCCUUAGAACAAUCUGCUUUUGUUAGUGGUCGCCAAAUUCAAGAUAACAUAUUAGUUGUGCAAGAGGUCCUUCAUUAGCUUAGGAUCAAGGAAAAGAAGAAAAACUUUCAAGCAGUCCUAAAGUUAGAUAUGCCGAAGGCCUACGACCGGGUUGAAUGGGAUUUUUUAUAGGAUUACAUGCUUAGAUCGGGUUUCAAUUCGAUUUGGGUCCGUUUGGUCAUGCAGUGCGUUACUACUCCUUCUCUUAGUGUCAGCUUUAAUGGAGAUAACUUUCCAUAUUUUCAUUCGACUAGAGGACUCAGAUAAGGCGACCCCCUAUCCCCAUAUCUAUUCAUCCUGAUGGCAAAUGUAUCGUCCAUACUUAUCCAGCAAGCAAUGCAAAUGGGAAAUCUUAAAGGCAUAAAAUUAAAUAGGUGGUGUCCAACCCUCUCCCACCUGUUAUUUACUAAUGACACUAUUUUCUUCCUAGACGGCAAACUACAAGAAUGUCAGAACCUAGUGAAUCUACUCAACCAAUACUGCUUAGCGAUCGGCCAGACUGUUAACAGGAACAAAUCUAGUAUUCUCUUCAGCAAGGCGUGUCCUACCUGGCUACAGGAAAAUUUGGCCCGAGAACUCCAAGUUCCUGUGAUUACUAAAUCUAGUAAAUACCUAGGCAUGCCAUCAGACUGGGGAAGAUAAAAAAAGGACAUGUUCGCCUAGAUAUUAGCUCGAGUCAAUUAAAAAAUGGAAGGCUGGAAGCAGAAAUUCAUUUCAAAAGGUGGUAAGGAAAUUUUAAUUAAAACCGUCAUCCAAGCAACCCCACAAUAUGUGAUGUCUAUUUUUAAGAUCCCUAUUUCUCUGUGUAAAUCUAUUCAGCAGAAAAUUGCCAAAUACUGGUGGCAAAGUGACAAUAAUAGUAGAACAAGUAUAUAUUGGAAGCAAUGGGAUCACCUUACAACUCGAAAGGACAUUGGCGGACUGGGUUUUUGUGACAUCAUCACCUUCAAUAGGGCAUUACUUGGAAAGCAAGCAUGGUGUCUAGUUCAUAACCCGAAUUCCCUAUGGGCUACACUAUUUAAAGGUCUUUACUAUAAUUCUAGGGAUUUCUGGCAUGCUGAUAAAGGCGCAAGACCAUCUUGGGGCUGGCAAAGUCUUCUAACAGGCAGAGACACAAUAUAGGAUAAUAUUCAAUGGGCUGUAGGAGAUGGCCAACAAAUCUCAAUCCGUGAAGAUAGAUGGCUUUCGAGCGGAACCAUCGGUGGCCCUGUGCCCCGAGGUGAACCAAAGAAGUUUGUAGCUUUUAUCCUACUAGGUCAGUCUAUUUGGAAUGAACCUAUGCUGUCUAAUUCUUUCAACGACCAAACAGUGAAAGAGAUCCUAGCUAUAUAGCUUCGUACCCAAUGCACAGCUGAUCAAAUCUUUUGGAAAGGAACUCUAAAUGGAGCAUAUACAGUAAAGAAUUGUUAUAACAACCUUAGAGCUAAAGCACACAGCAAUGUACAAAGCAGCGGAUCAUCCUCCUACCAAACCCCUCCACAACUUUGGCGCAAGAUCUGGAAAAUGCAGACAUUCCCAAAGAUUAGGAUAUUUAUGUGGUCUCUAUGCCACAAUGCCCUUGCUACUCGUGAGAACCUUAAUCACAGACAUAUUAUUUUGGAUUCUACAUGCCAGUUAUGUCAAACACACAACCCUGAGUCAACAAAGCACUUAUUCCUACUUUGUCCAUGGACGCGGAUGGGUGGUAUGUGGCAUCCGAGAAUUUCAACUACACCAAUUAAGUAUAUAUGGAACAAAGAGAUGAAUAUUGACAUUGGUCAAAUUAAAUUUUGUACUGAAGGAGUGGAAUCCGGUUUUUGCUUGAAAAAUCGUGUAAUGUCUCUUGUUUGUGCGAUUCGACGAGAAAGGAAAAGAAACCCUGUCACUUGAUCGAAAAUGUUUCAUGUAAAGAUUUUGGUUAUAUAUAUAAGAGUAUAGAUUUAUUUCUUUGGUUAUAUAUUUAUGCUUCAUAAUUAUGGGCCUAUAUUUUUGGGGACCAUGGGCUAUUUUAGUUUGGACUUUUGGCCUCAUAAUUUUGGGCCCAAGCAGGCCCAAAGAGCCCCAAGAGUGUCGACCAAAAGAGAAGGGGGAGAGGAAGGAACUGGAUGGAGAGAAGACUAUGCCACCCUCUCCAGUUGUAAUCAUCAUGAAGCCACCUGUCCAUCUCACAAGCACACUUGUCCUUGGAUUGCCCCAUUAAUUUUCCACUUGUUCUCCUCAUGAGAACAUUUGUACCUUACAUGCAAAAAUAGAGAUUAAUUGUUAAUCAAAGAGCAAAAAGGGAGGGGGGUUUCGGAAGUGAGAGGGAGAGAGAGAAAGGGGGGUGAGCCGAGCAACUGAGUGAGAGAGAGAGAGAGAGAGAGAGAGAGAGAGAGAGAGAGAGAGAGAGGGUUGAGUGAGAGACUGAGAGAGGGGGUGAGCGGAUGUUCGGACGUGAGCCGCGAGAAGGAGGACUGCCUUCCGCCGAUGACGUGCUGCUGCCAUCGAGCCCGCCUUGCCCCGCCGUGUGUUUGCUGUGAUUUUUGCUUGGAUUAGAGGCAAGUACAGUCCUAAAACCUACCCUUUGCUUGCUGUGAUGUAUGUAUAGAAGAUGGUGAAUUUUGGUUGUGGUGGAUGUGAUGAAAGGUCAAAGCUUUGGGGAGAAAUUCGUUGGCCUAGCAUCUGUUUUCUGGAAAAAUCAGUCUGACCCUUCACGAUUUUGUGAGCUGCAUACAAAUUUUUAGUUGGAAUCUCGCUUCGAUCUCUCAUGAAAGUUGUAGAGAACAUCUUGAGGGAUAACAUACUAAAAUUUGAGACAAAAUGGACAAGGAUUGCCUGGUGAAAUGAUUUUCCUUUGGAGAGAUUAGAUCUGGAAUUUGUUGUGCUGAUCUUUAGUGAUUUCGUGGACUGUAAAGUAGCUUUUUUGCGAAAAUCUCACUUCGAGUUCUUAAUGAAAGUUGUAGUGUACUUUGUGAGGUAAAACAUAUAAAAAUUUUAGAGGAAAUGAACAAAAAUAGGUCAGUGAAAUCGUUGUCCUUUGAAGAAACUGGAUCUGGGAAAAUGCUACCUCGACCUAGUAUGAUUCUGCGAUUUUUAUAAAAUCCUACAGUUAAAAUUUAAUCAUGUGUACUUAAUAAAAGUUGUAGGUAAUAUUCUGAGGUAUAACAUACUGAAAAAUUAGAAGAAACGAAUAUAUGUAGAUCGGUGAAACAAGUUUCAUUUGAAAGAAGAUAAUCUAGAAAAAAGACACCGAGAACAGGUGGAAUUAAUCAUCUAUAUCUGUUAAUCUAGACCAAUUUGGGGUUUUAUUGCUUCAUGAGAUAUUUACCCUUAAGACUUUUCUAUAACAUAUAAAAAUUUCAGAAUUUUUGGAGUUCAUUUAGAUAUUUAAUUUAAAUUACUUCCGAAACUGUGCAAGCUGAAGUGUUAAAAUUUUGAAGACUGUGAUGCAUGGACCGUACUGUUUUGUGUGAGAUUCUUUUGGUAUGGUGGUCUUCACGAAAUAUUUUCCUCUAGAUAUUGUAUAUAACAUGUAGAAUUUUUAGAAUUUAUUAAGGCUGUUUACUAAUUUUUCAAGAAUUAUGACCAAAGGAGUGCAAUCUGCUUUUAUCCGAAAAUUGCUGCACUUUAAAAAAUAAGUGAAUUUGCUCCAUGUGAUAUAAUGUAUUGAGUGGUUGAUUAUGCUGCAUAUAUGGUGAUGUUUGGCAUAUCACGUGACAUCAAAAGAUGGUUUAGAUCUUUGAUAUUGUUGCAUCAAAUGCCAUGAUGAAAAUGAGAUAUAUAUAUAUAUAUAUAUAUAUAUAUAUAUAUAUAUGAGAUUAUAUAUAUAUUGUGAUAAUAACGAGACCGUGGGAGGUGUGAGCCGACGAUGCCCCGGGAGUGUCGGGAUGCCCAAAGUCCGUGUGCCGAAUGUUCUCGGGAGUUUCGAGAUGCUCGGUAGUAUACGGUACGUAAUGUCCAGGGGGAUUGCCUAGUGGUAUGGCGGUACGUAAUUCCGGAAGCCCUGGAGGUGUGUGCCGGGGGAUUCCUCGUGAUGCUAGUUGGGAUGCGAGAUCCCCGGAGGUGUGUGCUGGAUGCCCAGAGGUGUGUGCCAGAGGCUCCUCGCGAAUUCAGGUUGGAUGCGAGCGAUAAAUUGUGGGAUGCAAACAUUGGUCACUGGAUGAAAAAUAAUGAGAUCCUUGUGAAAGAUAAGAAUUGAAAUUGAAUCAUGUGCAUGUGUGUAUGCAUAUGGCAUGAUGCAUAAUCUGCUUAUGAAAGUAAAUUGAUGCUAUUUGAUAUUGAAAAUGCGAUCAUGAAGGCAUGAAUGGAUCUCAUGGUGAUGUAUGCUAAAUAGCAUGGAUGAUACGAAUCAUGGUGAUAUAUGCAUGAUGGCAUGGCAAGAUAUGCAUGACUGCAUGGUAAUAUAUGCACGAUAGCAUGGUGAUGUAUGCUUGAUAGCAUAAAUGAUAUGUGCUUUACUUGUGAUAUCUUGAUUGUUUUGCUUGUUGCAUUGUGUAGUUUGGUGGAUCUUUACUGCUAAGUGGUUGUACUCACCCCGUUUGGGGACUAACAUUUAAGACUAGAUAAGUACCUCUGCUGCCACUGCCACUGAUAGAUGGAUCGAGUGGUUGGAUAUGAUCGGGAGGAGAAGGAUAGCAAAGGAAUGAACUUUUGGACGCCGACACUGAUCGAUGGACUUUAAGUAUAUGACUGUUGGAGGAGAUGUCGGUCAUCUUUUGAAGUAUAGCCGAGUAUAGAAGAUUAUGGCAUUUUGAUGUACCAAUGAAUGAUGUCCAUCUGGUUUAAGUAAAUAAAAGUGUUUGGCUUUUACCUAUAAAUGUCUUAAUUGGUGUGCAUCGUUUUCUGAAUAUAGGGAAGGGAGUUGUUGGAUAUGCUUCCGUUAUAUGAACUGCGCAAGGGGCUGAUCUAAAAGAUGUAAACCCCCAGGUUGUAUGGACCCGCUGCAAUUGAAAUGGUAUCAGAGUGACAUAUUAUCAGGUUAAGUGAAGGGUAAGUGGUCUGUGGCGACCCUAAUGGUUCGGGGUCCGUCGAGGGGUGCCACAUGGUCUCACCAACAGAUUAACAUCACACCAGAGGAACAUAAUAUCCAUCGUAUUGAUGCCUGGUUAAGAAAUCUAUUAGCUCAGAGAACUGUCUUACUUGAUUUGGCGACGCUCGCGUAUAUACUGUGGCAGAUUUGGAAAGCGAGGAAUAACUUCGUCUUUUGCACAGUUCGCCCAGAUCCAUUACAGGUGGUUCAAAUUGCUCUUGUGAAUGCCCUUGUAGAUUGUCGCCUAUAUGAAGUGCGACUGGAAUCUCCAAUCCCAUCCUCUGAAUCUAAUCGGGUGUGGCGAACUCCGGCUCUUGGAAUCUUGAAGAUCAACAUUGAUGGAGCUUUUAUCCCAACGUCUCAUGAAGGCUCUGUGGCCUUGAUUACUCGAGAUCAUACUGGUCAGAUCGUUGCUAGAUUUACAAGGCGUGUCGCGGCCUCUUCGGCGCUGUAGACGGAAACUCAAGCUUUAAAUCUCACCCUUCGAGAAUUGUUGCAAAAAGGACAAGCGGAUCGAUCUCUUACCUUGGAAUCGGACUGCAAGAACUUAGUAGAUGCUGUGAAAAACCCUCACUUAACGCCAUGGGAGAUACGAGCACUGAUUGCAGAGGCUGCGGCGUUGCUCCAAGGGUUUCCUAAUCUGUGUGUAGUACACUGCCAUCGAGAAGCGAACGAAGCCGCCAACUGGGCUGCCAAAACCCACGAAGCUGGAAGCCCUCCGAAUUGGCCCUUUUCUAUUCCCCCUCUUUUGGAUAUUGUCUCUACUGACCUUAUGGCAAAUGGUGUAAAUCAUCGUUAAUGUUAUAAAAUAUUUCCUUUUUCGACCCAAAAAAAAGGUCAAUCCAAAGUUUGAUACGUGAUGCGACCUUCUUUAGACACAAGGUUCCAAAGAAAAGACAAAAUUUGCGCAAAUUUUCAAUCAUGUGAUUGAUUCUUUAUCCCGAGUACAUUUAAUAGCCUAACAUCGCAAUCAAAUUGAACAUUUCCUACAAAGAGCUGAUUAAAAUUAGUUGAUUAUUUUCAAAUAAUUUCUCGUGCCAACAAUCAUCCUCAUACAUCCACGAUGAUGUUCAACUUAUUAUUUUGAUGGAUUGUGAACAAUCAUCGCAACUUCCAGUAGCUUUCUCUUCCAGCAUGGAGAAUAUGCUAUGAUAUCUUCAUUCCUCCUUCCGUCAGCUGAAGAGAUCCCAUAAGAAAUAUAAUAUUUCCAAUUCCAUAAACGAAUUCAAAAACCGAUUUCCAUCAUCCACACCUCCAUUGAAGAGUUAAAAAAAAGAAAAAGCUCAUCUAAAGCAUGUCAAAUUGGCAUCGCAAGUUGAUUUAUUUACGUCAAUAUCGCAAGUUGCGUCGACUCCUUCCAUGUCAACAUCGCAAGUUGGCAUCCAUUUUGGGCUUUGACGCUGUUAACUACAUGUGCUCUUUUACACAUCAAAUUGAUUUAUUUCCAUCAUCCACACCUCCAUCAAAUGGAUUUUUGUAUGACAUAUUAUUAUUAACGGAUGGUAAAUGGUCCUUUUAGUCAAUGUCAUUGAGAAUUUCGCCUCUAUUAAUGUACAAAUAAAUUUUGAAUCACUUAUGGGACAAAAUAAUACAUUAUUUUGAAUCGAACAUAAACUUUUCACAUGCCGAAACAUAUGUUAAAGUCAAAGCUUAUUUCGAUGAUCCAUAAUUGCAAAAUUCGCCACGCAGUACAGAUGAUUUAUUUCCAUUGGUAUAUCAAUGGCCGUUGCCCUAGCAAUGAACUCAAAGCAAACAACAUCCUGAUCAUGACACGGAACAAGGAGGCAUGUCUUUGGGUGGUGGCAGCACCUUCUGAUGUUUUUUUGCCCCAUCUCCAACGACAAUGACUGUGUCCAUCCCCCAGCUCGCAUGGCGUUCCAAGUGACAGUGCAUGAACCACACCCCUACAAGCAGCCGUAAAAGAAUAAUCUGUCAAAUGUAUUCAUAUACAUGUCUAAAUCCGUGCAAACUAUAUGUUUAUAUGCGUUUCUAUUGAUAAAUCAUAUUACCUGGAUUAUCAGCUUUGAAUCUAAUGGCUGUCCACCCAUUUUUGGGGAGUCCGACAGUGUUAAUGUAAGGUGGAUCGACUGUAUUAUACUGCGAUACAUAGGAGUCGCUGAAAUUUCCAUCGCCCAUUCCGACGACAUAAAAGCUGUAGCCGUGUAAAUGCAUGGGGUGAUUCUCCGCUGCGAAAUUGGUCCCCUGGAAUCUUAUUUCGACCUCCUCAUUAUAGUUAAUCAUCAGCACUUCGGUGCUCACAUUGGCAGCAUCUCCUAAGGCUGAUACAUUCCCGGUGUAGUCAAACACGAAAGGUGGUGUAUCCGGAAAAGUUUUGUUGUAGACUCCUUGGAGAUUGCUGCACGCACCACACAAACAUAAUGUUAUGACACAAUUAGAUGUUGAAUUAUGCCUUUGCUUUAAGACAAUGAAGGCUUAAAUCAUUCAAAUUGGUUUGAUUUGAAGAAUAUUUCAGCCUGAAUCAACUCUAUCGGUCGGAGAUACUAACAAAUAUGAUCAAAAUUGGAAGGUCUAGUGAUUUACGUACUUGUAGUAAGCUUGGAGAAUGCUAAUCGAUGGAGCCGAAAAACUUAUGUUAUUCAAGCUUGUUGAAAGCAUGUUGCCCUGUGGACCAGUACAUGUUUUAUUAGCAGGACAUGGCUGUUGAUUCACGGCCACCGUGAUCGUAAUGUUCCUAGUGAUUUUGGUUGGAACCUUAGAUGGAUGCUCUUUGCUGUUCAAACUCCUCAACUGAACAGUGAAGUUUCCAGCGUCACUCUUGUUAGUAAAACCUGGAAGCUCAGGUAACAAAGGAGUCUCCGAGUGGUUAUAAUUGCCAUUGUAUUGAACUAUUGCCCUCGUAAUGUUUUCAUUUAACGGGGCACCGGUAUCCAAGAAUGGGCUAAAUACCAUGUAAUAACGACCAGGGGCUUGAUUUGCAGUUACCAAAACAUCCAUCGUUUGACCAGGAGUUAUCAUGAGGUAAUUGGUCUUAAGCAGUUUCAAAUAAGCUCCAUCCAUUCCGACCACAGUGAGAUUGUGCUUGGCUAUGCCAAAGAACAUCUCUUCGUUCAUCCCAGAGUGGAUGAUUCGGAAGAGAUACGUUUUUCCUUGCACAACUGUUAUAUUGUAUGCCGACCCUAUGAAAGAUUAUAAAAAAAAAAAACACUAUAUUAAAUAGUAUUGUCAUAGAUCUUGAUUAGUUUUAAGGAAUAACAAUCUUGCAAGAUCUCAUUUCAUUAAUAUAGAGUAAAAAGGUUUUAUUUCAUUACCUAUGAAUACGAGCUUUUCUUUUUAAAAAAUAACAUAUAUCACACUCAUAAAUACACACUAGAAUUCAUACCAUUAGAGCAUGAGUAACUGUCUCCUGGUUGACCAUUGAUGGUAUAGGCCACGGACAAGUCUGGAUCGCCUCCGGUUGCAAGAGCCUCAUCGAUUAUAGCCUUCGUAUCUCUGGCAUACCAUUCAGCUACGUGCCAAAUUAGUUUUGUUAAGAAAAACAAUUCAAGCUACUACUUGUGCAUGUUUGAUUAAGAGAAAAACUUAUUUAUGUCAUUUAAGUAGAAUACCAAUCACAAUUGUGUGUUGUUCAUCAAACUUGUAAGGGUAGUUGGUGUCAUUGACAGGCAAAAUAAUUAUAGGGCCAUGUACAGUGGCCCGUGUCCAAUCGCUAUGAGCGUGCCACCAUAGCGUGCCUUCUUCUUCAGUGAGUAUGACUUUCUGAAGGAAGCUUGAGUUUGUAGGGAUUGGGCAUUGUGUGAUAUUCUCUGGGCCAUCAGACCAAGGAUACCUUUUUUCUCUCACUCCGUGCCUACACGUGUGUGUAAUAUUAGGAGAUUGGGAGGGAGGGAAAAGAGAGAGGGUGGAGGAAGGGUGGUUUUAUUUUUACCAAUGAAUAGUGACUCCGUAAGGUCCUGUAUUGGUGACAUUAACGUAGAUGGUGUCACCCUUGUGAGCACGGAUCUCCGGUCCAGGAAACAAACCAUUCACGGUCAAUACAGAGCGAUUUGUCUCACACAACAUCUUAAUAGGUGUCUCCUUCACCUGCAACAAAUAAAAAAUCAUCCUUUAAUAUUGUACCGUCAAACAUCUUAAGUAAUCUCUCUUAUUAAAUUGAUGCCAAAGCGUUUCGGUGUAUCGCAGCCUACAGAUAACAUUAAGUAAUUUAGGGGCCGGCGUCUGCACUUGCUUCAAGAAUAAAGACCCAAACGGGUUGGAGAUCACUUCCCAAAUGAACAAAUAAAUAAAUUAUACAACUGUGGACAUUUAGGGAUUACUACCAGACUCUCAAGAAGAUAAAAUCAUCAGAAAAAUGCAUGUAGUUUUGGUAUAUGAAUGCUGUAAUACUGGGCCUCGAGCAUAGUCCAAGAUCUAGAUGUGAAGAUCAUCCAUGACGAGAGGAGAUUCUUGUCUUGAAUAUCCUAAUACCAUAACAUCUACGAAUCAUGAGAUCGUAAAACUUGUAACAAAUGCGCUAGUAGUCACUAAAUGAUGUGUAUGGCCCAAAAAAGACACUUAAAAGUGCUCCACAAGGAGAUGUUCCUACUCACCACGAAAUCAUAGCGGAGGACUUUGCCUUGAGCCAUGCAAAAGAGCAGGGUCAGAGUGAACCCAAACCCUAGAAAUCUGCCCAUCGUCUCUGUCUCCCUCUCUCGCUCUCAACAAGACAAAAACGAACUUGUACGAAUCACUUGAUCCAGCACAAAAAAGGGGACUUGUGUUUCGCUCGGCCUCUUUCUUCUUGUGACCUUCACCUUCCAUUGAAGGGGGCUCUUUAUAGGGAACUUCUUUUCGUAUUUGGUUUUCUCAGUCGAGAUGCUCGCUGUCUGCCCCACAUGAAAACGAAUUCGUCGGGUUUCCGCAAAAACACGUGUCCUUGACAUUACAGCCAAUGAAAGUUAAAGAAAGGAAAAACCGGCAUUUCUCUUUCAAAGGCUUGUGCUAAUUUUUCCCGUGUUUCCACGAAGAAGAAGAGGAUCGGUUAAGGAGCACCGCCGAGCAACGAGCUGAUAAACUUCCCACGACUUACUUGGUCAUGCGGGCAAGAAAGAAGAGAGAAUUUAAAAAUACAUUUCCUUACGCGUUCAUCAACUGCUUCAAGAGUCAUUACCGAUUCUCCUUUUGUUCUUUUCUGGAGACAAUCGGCGUCAACGUUUCCGUGGAGGAUUGCUCGUGAAAAAAGUUCCACAGCCACCUCCCCACGUUGUUCUUCUUGGACACGGGUUGACCAGUCCCAUGAUACUUCGGAAAAUAGAGCUCCUAGAAGUCGAGAGAUAUUCGGUUCAGCAGAGAAAUCUGUAUUUUGCAAAGAAAAAAGAAGCAUACGAGAAAAAUGUUUCUCCUUGUCAUUUACCGAACACAGCAAACCAGGAGAAAGAAAACUCGUACUGAAGUCUAGUUUAAAGAGCCUUUUCGGAGCAUAUGUUUCGGUCAGGUUCAGCAAUAAAAAAACUGAACUUUCUUGUAACUUGUUUAAACAAAAGUUUUACAAAUCGAAUCAUUCCUUAUAGUGUACGACUAUCUUUUGACAAACUCUUAUGGCAUGACAAACUUUUAAAGCGUGUAAAUACUUAUUUUCUCUUUUGCCAAAGAAUUUGUAGAUUAUUGAAGUAAAAAUAAAGCACAAAUAUUACCAUUCUCCUGAAGAUAUCUAUCAAUUUUCCAUGAGAUCUAUAUGUUAGGGGUUUACCUAGACCGAGGUGUCUCAAUUCCUUCCCGAAACAGAAACGUGUACGAAAUCUCUCUAUUGAUCUUGUUCUUGAUAUACAAGCAUUCAAAGUGGAUCCAGAUCAGAGACAUUACAAAAGUCCCUAUUAAAAUAUGUUCUAGAAGCUGACUAUAUAUGAUUUGAUUAAUGACACGCGGUGUGAAUCAUUAAUUUGACAAGGGUUUUAGUCGGUGUGUUUAUGAUUUAGGGAGCCUACUAGAAAUAUUGCCUUUAUAAAAGUACUCCCCCGCCCAAAGAAAAAAAUUUCACAAAAAUAAAGGCCCGCUAAAAGCACGCCUACUAUAAUCAAUCAUAUUAGAAAUAUCAAUUAGAGCAUAACACAUUGAUUAUCUAGCAAAUAAUGCGUCCCAAUCCAUAUAUCAUAUCCGCUAUUCAUGAUAUAUUUGAGAUAAUAUUCUAUAUCAAAAAUGCCUCUAAGCACACAAUCCAUAUGAAUUAUUAGAAUACUACAUAAAAUUUCAUAGAGUUGAGCCUAAAAGUGCUGUAAGUGCUUCAAAUUCUAACAAAAAUGCUAGCCAAACAAUGCCGUAAGUGCUUCAAACUAAUGGUGCAUUUUGAGCCUUUAGUAUCACUUCAAAAGGCAAUAGGCUACUGAACAUUUAUUAUUAAUAAUUUAGCUUAAUCAGAGCAAAAUUGCAAGCAUUUUAUGGAAGAGAGAAAUGAACAACUUUUUUUAAUUUAAAAAAAUAUCGAUAUGAAAUCUAUUCCAUAUGAGACAACUUCAAGUUCAUGUAGCAAAUUUGAAAGGCAAAGUUAAUUCUCAAAUAAAAAAUUAAUGGAAUCCUAGGCAAUGGGAUUUGGAUAUUGAUUUCUCAAUAAAACGUACAAAACCUAACACUUUCCUUGGGAUAAUAUGGGGUCAAGACCGUCGUUACUCUUGACAGAGUAACAAUGCAGCCAUCUAAUCUUUUUCCCAUGAUUUAUUUGAAGUUUUGCUAAUAUAACAGUCUUUAGAUUACUAUAAUUAUAACAAUUUGUUAUGAGUCAUAAAAUUUUGAAAGAGUGGAUCUUACAAUAAUAUAUAUUAUUUAUUAUUUAAUUUUUUGUGAUAUAGAAUAGAUUGUUAUUCUCACAAUAGAUUAAAAACUAUCACCUAAUCAUUUAUUUUUAUUUUGCAAGUUGCACAAGCCCUUUAUAAUAGCUAGGAUAUAGAUGAUUGGACGAGAUGCAAGUGGUCGACUUUCUUUACAAAAAUUGAAAUGGAACGACACCAACCCACCCACCCCCAAGCGGGGCGGACCAACCCAGCCCCCGCCCCUCUCCCCCCGCGACAGGCCGUGGAUCUCCUACAACACGGGUGAUUCGAUCACAGCACUUUUCAACAAAACAUGGUCUAAAAUAUUGAGGGUAUUGGUGUUCAACAUGUGUUCAACAUUGCUUUAUAUAAGUUAAAGAUAUUUUUUCGAGUGAUUUAAGUUAACGUCAUAAACAUUGUCACACAAUAUUAGUAUCCGUAGAACUUUUAAGGGAAAUCUCGAAUAAGAUAUGAAGUGGGGUCGUUUUCUGAAAAGAGGGACCAGUGAACAUUAUUCAUAUAAGGCCUUGAAAUAUCUAAUUUGUUCUCAAAUAAGGCUUGGAGCUCCCUAGUCAACUUGGUGAUUCAUGAGCCAAUUAACUCCAGACUUUUUGGCUUAUUCAUGGGAACCUAAUUUAGAGUAGUGGAUAUGCAAUUGAUGAAAUUCAAAUCUAAGACCUUUACUUCCUAGCUGAAAAUUUCCAACACCCGAAUCAAUUGAGAGAACUUCUCUAUCUUUCCUUUUUGUCUAUUGCUUAAUUUAAAUCGUGCGACGGACACACUUUGACUUAUCAUAAAAUAUCUAAAACUCUCACAAUAUACAAAUUUGACACGUAAAUUUGCAUAUAUAUUUUUUCGUGACUUUUGAAAUUUAGAGAUAAUUCUAAAUUUUGAAGGAAAAAAAAGGGCCUUUUCUGCUUUUUAUAAUAAGCAAACAAAUACAUUUUUUUCCCCUUGAGAGAAUGUAUCAUCGAUAAAUUUAAAAGUCAAUGGUUCUAAGUGAUUGGUCCUCACAGCCUCUACGCCUCUCUAGUAGACACAUUUGUACACUAUUAAUUGCACAACAUAAACACUCCAUCCAAAUCAAUCAUGACAUAUCGAGUAUUGAAUAUUUUCUCUCUUUCUUUCUAAUUGAUGAACUUUGACACAUAAUUAUCAGAUUGGGAGCACGGAAAUGUCUUACAUUGCAUCUAAAAAUAUCUCCUCAUCGAAGAUCUGCUCCUACCGAUGAGGUGACGAAAGAAUGUACGAGGAAUGAAACUGAAUGCGUAUAAUUUGAGGUGUGUGGACACUUGAUGCUCUUCCCUUGAUGUUGCCUCUGAAACCGGAGAAGAUCCCUAUCCCAUGGAAGUUUCCUCGUGCUUUUCAAUACCAUUUCAUGGGCAUGUAACUCAUUCUUUAAGCAAUCAUUUCUAAAUCGACAUGUUCCCUGCGCAACACGACAUCAUUUCAUGCUCGGACAAGAAAUCCUAAAACACGUUUCGCACCACAAGCGCCGUGAUUGCAACUUGAUAUUUUCCUCGGACAAAUACAAUGUUCCAAAGCACCUAUGAGAAGCAAUGGUUUACCUUUUAAUUAAUUAAGGCGCUACGAAAAAUUUCAAAAUUGCCGUAAGACUAAUGGAACUUAUUAUCAUGGCAAUAAAAGAAGAACAAAAUACCGGAGCUUAUCAUCAAUGCAUAUAAUAAUAAGACAUCUUUAUGAUAUAAACUAGAGUUUACCGUGGCGAUUAUAUAAAAGGGUUAAUACCCUAAAAAACCCCAAACUAGUACAUUUGUGACAAAUUUACUCCAAACUAUUUUUUUGACCAUGAAAAACCCCAAACUGGUACACUUGUGACAAAUUUACUCCGACUGACCAUAAAAAAACCCUAAACUGGUACAUUUACGACAAAUUUACUCUAAACUAAUUUUUUCAACUGCAAAAAACCUCAAAUUGAUAAAUUUGUGACAAAUAUACCCUCUGCUAAAUUAGAUUAAUACCACAAAAAAAAUCAAAAAAAUUGUAAACUGUGGCAAAUGAUGCGUAAAAUCCUAAAUUGAUAUAUUAGUCAACUGUCACGUGUAAUUUAAUUUAAUAAUUUGACAAUAAAAUUUAACGAAAAUUGACAUAAGGUAAAUUUGUCACAAGUGUACCAAUUUGAGGUAAAUUUGUCAAAGGUAUACCAGUUUGGGGUUUUUGGUGGUAAAAAAAAAAAGUUUGGGGUAAAUUUGUCACAAGUGUACCAGUUUGGGGUUUUUCAGGGUAUUAACCCUAUAUAAAAUGUCUUUAUUGUAAUUUAGGAAUGUGGAGGAAAGAUUAUUCAAAGAAUUAGUAGCGUUGGUAACAUAAUCAAGAACCAUAGGCCUCAGAAAAUGUGAGAUUCUAAUUAAGUUGUGAGGAUAUAAAUCCUCUUAAACGUUCUAAUUUAUGCGUGAAAUUUUCAACUUUCAGCCAAAUUAAUGGAGUGGGUUGCUCUCCUAUCACAUGAUAAUAACAACACGAAGGCAAAACAAAGUUGGGAAGAUUGAAAAUGAGCUUACGUUGUCUUAUCAUCAAGCUUGUUCUUGUGGAAUUAUCUUGCGUAAUCGACGAUCAAAACAUUAAACAAGGUCACGUGGGGCAAUUAGAAGAUAAGCGUAACGUGGCCAACCUGUUAAUCCCUAUAAUCGAGGAUUAACUUAAUUUGUGGCCUGCAUCGAAGUGACCUUGUUCUUCAAUUUAUUAUAAUAUACCGUGGGCCGACUAGAAAGUUGAACAUGUUGUGUUUCAUGUAAUAAUUAUAUUCGCUGUAUGACACGCCUUUUCGGGUCAACUAUGUAGAACUAGACGACAUAAAUGAGAUCAUCCUGGUCCAAGAGAAACCAAUGAUUCGGUCCAAGGUAGUGAAGAAACCUUAGACAAGAAACGGUGCAUAAAAAAGCCGGAUCCUAGGAGGGCAGAUCGACUGUGGAAACAACAGGCUUCUGGUUCAGUAAAUGGACGAACUAGUUAGCGAACUGGGUCACUAAUCAUGACUAGGGUUUUGCUUCUUAGCAAUUGUUGUGUAGAGAUUUAACAUUUUCACCCUCGGCUCGAGCAAAACAUUGCAUGACUUAUAUAUAGAUCAUGUAGACGAAGUCCAUUUCUACCAUUGAUUAUGUAAACUCCAUAAUUAAUGGUUGAGAUGGUAUUGAUUCGUGUGAUCUAUAGAAACAUGCAUGCGAUGACUUCUAUUUUUUGGAUGGUGUGUAAUAUUAUAUCAAGAUUAGGAUUAAAUAGUUGUUUUCUUUGUUGCUCGUUUUUGACCCGCUAAUGCGCGUAUGGAACGUGCAUCGAUUAACUUGCUUAGAGAUCGAUCAAGAGUAGCCUAGCUCUACCACUCUAGAUGCAUGUGUCACCGGUUGGUCGAUUCCGAUCGAUCAAACACCGUGCGGCCUUAAGAUUUCACUCCCAAGUCAGCCUCACAUGCACAUGCACGAGCAUGAGGGUCGGAUGCUCAAAGGAAUGAAUGUAUUUGCUUGUGAAUGAACUGAGUACAAUGAGCGGGAGGGACCCCUAUUUAUACAAGUGCAGGAUUCAUCUCAUUUAGUUGAUCUUCCCUCCAAUCCAACGGUUGUGUUUGAAUACAAGCCAUCAUUACAAGUUUGUACACUAGGCCACUCAAUGGCUAGGCCUUGGGAAGCCCAUGGGCAUGUGUCAAAAGCAAGAUCAGGAUCAGUAGGGCCGCCUGACAUGAAGCAACUGAACGGUCAUGGGCUUUUGUCCGUAUUGCGCAUGGGUCGAUCCUGAGUUGAUCAUGGAUCGUUCAUGGAUCGGUCAUGGGUUGCUCAUGGGCUGCCCAUCGUGCGUGACACGGCCCCAUCCGAUCGGUCUUGGAUCAUGCUCCCUUCGUGGGCCGUGUCAAUCUCCCCCACCUAAUCGGGCAACGCCUUCAUCGCGUCUGUGGCAUGGAAGGCAUCGAUGUGUUUCUUGAACUACCAGAGAGUCUCGAACAGCUCCCAACUCGCUUCACUCUCGGGAAGGCCCUUCCGUCAGACCAGGUAUUCCUUCUUUGGUGCACAAUAUCUCUUCCGUACGACGCGAUCUGCCAUGAUGCAUUCAACAUGAGGAGGUUUUCGCUCCAAGGGGUGCCCAUUGUGAUUCUCCUCAAUCCAAAUCUUCCUUGUCCGCAUGAAAAUGUUUUAGCAUAUUCACAUGGAACACAGGGUGUACCUAAAGCUUGGCCGGCAAGUUCAGCUUGUAUGCUACCUUUCCAAUCCGCUGCAACACUCAGAAGGGGCCUUCAUAGCGACGGAUCAACCUUUUGUGCACGUCUUAAUACUGAAGAAUCAAGUGCAGCUUAGCCAACAUCAAGUCUCCGACCUGAAAUUCCACGUGCCAUCGCUUCUUGUCGAACCACUUCUUCGUGCGCUUUGCAGCCCUAUGUAGGCACGCUUGUGCCAAGUCUGCAUGUUCAUCCCACUCCUUAGCGAACUUGUACGCAGAUGGACUACUCCCUUGAUAUCCUGAGGCUAUCGCGAUUGGUGUAAGUGGUUGUUACCCAGUCACGAUCUCGAACGGGCUUCGAUUCGUGGUUCACUUCGCUGCAAGUUGUAGGAGAAUUGGGCCACGACGAUCAGCCAUGCCCAAUUCACUUGUGUGUUGCUCACGUAGUGCCGAAGGUAGAUUUCCAAGAAAACGUUCACCCUUUCCAUCUGCCCAUCGGUUUGGGGAUGGAAACUCAUGGAGAAAUUGAGGUUCGUUCCCAGCAACUUGAAGAGCUCAGUCCAGAAUCACCUGGUGAAUCGAGGAUCAUGAUCGUUCACGAUCAUGCGUGGAACGCCCCAAUAAUUGAUGACGUGCUUGAGGAAUAAUCUACCACGAUCAUGAGGGUUCGACACCCUUUGAACUUCAGCAAGUUCACAAUGAAGUCCAUGGAGAUGCUCUCCCAUGGACAUUCCAAGAUAGGCGACAGUUCAAGGAGCCCCACCAGUGACCGUUGCUCUAUCUUGUCUUGUUGACACACAAGACAUGUUCGUACAUAGGCUUCAAUGUCAUCCCGCAUGUGCGGCCAGUAAUAUUGAUCCUCGACGAGUGCUAUGGUGCGGUGGAUUCCCGGAUGACCCGUCCAUUUGGAAUUGUGGCACUUGUGCAGGACUUCCUUCCCGAGUUUCCUGUGGAGCGGCACAUAGAGUUGCUGUCCCUUGGUGUAGAGGAGAUCAUCCUCACACUAGAACCACCUCGUCUUGCCCUCUUGUGCGUAUCGAAGGAGGGCUUGGGCUGUUUGAUCGUGCCUAAGCCCCUCCUUGAUAUGGUCGAUCCAUGGAUAGUCGAGUCGACUCAUAAUGUUGGCCAACUCCAACUUCCUGCUUAAGACAUCGCCCACAAAAUUCGAUUUUUCAGGCUUGUAUUCCAGCACAUAAUCAAACUUGGCCAGGAAGUCUUGCCACCAAGCUUGCUUUGGGUUGAGCUUCUUCUGAGUUUGGAAGUAGCUCGUGGCCACGUUAUUGGUUCUCACGACGAACCGUGAUCCCAAGAGAUAGUGCCUCCAUGUACAAAGGCAAUGCACCGCCACGGUCAUCUCCUUCUCUUGGACCAUGUAUCAUCACUUGAUGUAGUUCAAUUUUCGCAACUCGAAAGCAACCGGAUGCCCCUCUUGCAUCAAGAGACCACCGAUAGCAAAAUCAAAGGUGUCAAUUUCUACCUCAUAUGGCUUGAUGUGGUCGAGCAGCACGAGCACCGGUUCUUCAAUCAUGGCUUGCUUCAACCGAUUGAACGCCUUUUAACACUGAUCCGUCCACUCUCACGGCCUUCCUUUCUUCAACAUAUCCAUGAGUGGCACGGUGAGGCUUGAGUAUCCUUGAAUGAAGUGCCGGUAGUAAUUCGUGAGUCUGAGAAAGAAUCUCAAUUCCAUCACCUUGGUCGGUGGCUCCCAUUCAACGAUGGCAUAGAUCUUGGCCGCGUCCAUCUGCACUCGUCCACCCCCGACAAUGUGCCCAAGGAAAGGGCCUUCCUUUUGAGCAAACAUGCAUUUCUCACGCUUCACGUAUAGGUCAUUCUCUUGAAGAUUCUGGAAAACUUGACUCGAAUGUUUGACAUGUUCCUCAAGCGUUCAGUUGUACACGACAAUAACGUCAAGGUAAACCACAACAAAUCGAUCAAGGAAUGGAUGGAGUACCUUGUUCAUGAGAGUGCAGAAUGUGGCUGGCACAUUUGUCAAGCUGAAAGGCAUGAUGAGGAACUCAUACGAUUCGUAGCAGGUCACACACGCGGUUUUCGGCUCAUCCCCUUCGGCAGUCCGAACUUGGUAGUAUCCUGAUCGAAGAUCAAGCUUGGAGAACCAUUAGGCUUCCUUGAGCUGAUUGAACAAGUCUACAAUGAGAGGGAUCGGAUACUUGUUCUUGACGAUGAGCUUGUUUAAUGCCCGGUGGUCUAUGCACAUGUGGAGGGAUCCGUCAUGUUUCUUUUGGAACAAGACCGAGGCACCAAAUAGGGCCUUGGAUGGUCGAAUGUAUCUCGCAUCGAACAGCUCCUUGAGUUGUUUUCGUAGCUCUUCCAACUCAAGCGGCGCCAUGCAAUAAGGAGCCAUGGCUGGGGGUCGAGCAUUGAUUACAAACUCAAUCCGAUGGUCAACUUCUCUAUGAGGAGGCAGCUUCUUAGGUAGCUCGGGCGGCAUCACAUCUUGGAAGGCAUUAAGGACUCAGGUCACUUCCUCCGGUACCUCACUUUCUUCCACGCUCUCAUCAUUUAACAUCGCCAAGAAGGUCACCCCACCCUUCCUUAAUCCCUUUGUUAGCUAUAUGGCCGAUAGCAUCUUCCUAUCGCGUCCCGACUCAUAGUAGAUCGAGACCAUGCGUUGGCACUGCUUAUCUAUGAUGCAAAUACAAUCCACGAAGGGCAUAACGUCCGCAUUGAUCCGAUCAAGGAAUCCUAAACCAAGCACGGAAUCAUAUUUAUCAAGGGAGAUUACCUUGAUGUCUUCCCUACUGGUCCAUGGACCGAGGUGAAGCUCUACGUCCCUAGCCACGCCGCUAGUCGGGACUUCCUUGGAGUUCACCGUUUUAAGCCAACCGGCUUUUCUCACCUCGACCAGAAGAUUUAGCUUCUUCGCAGCCUUUUUGGAUAUGAAGAGGUCGAAUGCCCCAGUAUCCACAAGCGCACUCAUCGUUAUACCACCAAUCUUUACAUCCACAAACAUCAUUCCCUUGGAUUCCUUAGCUUUCUUGGCCUUGAUCGACCCAAGGAUCCACAACGAUCUCAAUCGUGCCUCCUCUCACGGUUCAUCCUCCUUGCACAAAGCUGCCAUCUUUCCUCUUUUCGGGUGAUCUCGGGCCAUAUGGGGACCGUCACAAAAAAAGCACCUGUAGGUGUGUACCUUGCGAUUAUAUCCUCCAUUGAUUGACUUGGGUUGAGUCCUAGGAGGGGCCGAUAGUGACUUGCCUUUGUUUGGACGGUUGUACCAACUCCGAUCUCCCCCAUCAUUAGCCUUUUCCCUCGGACGAGGGUCUGGCUUAGCCAAGGAUGGUGGUUUGUAUUCCACAAGCGAUUCAGCCACGGAAGUAGUCGUUGCGAGAUCCGUUGCAUGGCACCGUUUCAGCUUUUGCUUGACCCAUGGUUUCACUCUGCUCAUGAACUAAUAGAACGCCUCCAUCUUGGACAUGGAUAGGAUUUGGAGCAAUAGCUCUGAGAACCUCUUAACGUAGUCACGGACUCCGCCUUUUUGCUCUAGGCGCUUGAGUUCCCCCGCAAGCUUCCCCUCCGCAUAAGCAGGGUAGUAAGUUUGCUGAAAUUCUUCCACAAACUUCGUUCAUGUCGUGAUAGGGUUGCCACUCCUAUCAUUCGACCUAUGAUGCCACCACAGUAACGCAUCAUCAAUUAAAUAUAUGGCUGCAGUGUUUACCCAAAUCAUGUUGUCAGUCAUUCCUAUGGUCUAGAAGUAUCAUCCCAUGUACCACAAGAAGUUGUCCACGUCCUUUUCCACUCACAAGCCCUUGAACCCGUUGGCUUGGGUGUGUCGACACGUGGUUGUGUGGUGAUCAGUCCAUUCAUGCGCACCGCUUCAACCUCAGCGACCUUCCCUUUGAGCUCAGCAACUUUGGCAUGCAUGGCCGCCAUUGCCACUUCUCACGUCUCAUCCCGUUGUCUCAGCUUGUAGAUCAGGGACCCCAGUAACUCACCUUAGAGCUCUCCCAUGCCGGCUUUGAGCUCUUGCAUCUCAACCCAGAGUUCUUCUUUUCCGUCUUCCUCUCCGUCGAUGGUUUGGCACAAGUCCUCGACUUGUCCUUGGAUGCCUGAGACAAUUUCCUCCAUGAUCGUCACUCGGCGUUCUAGGUCGCCCAUUUGAUCUCUCGAACUCGAGGCACCACGGGUUUUCUUUGGCUUGGUAAGGGCCUUCUUGUUGGCCCUACCGCGGUCUUCUCGAUCCUCGACUUGAGCGAUCGCAACAUCAGAACACUGAUUAACCAUCGCACUUGGAACGAAGAGCUCUAAUACCACUUGUCACAGGUCAGUCGAUUUCGAUCGAUCAAAUACCAUGCGGCCUUAGGAUUUCACUCCCAAGUUAGCCUCACACGCACACACAUGAGCAUGAGGGUCAGAUGCUCAAAUGAAUGAAUGUAUUUGCUUGUGAAUGAACUGAGUACAAUGAGGGGGAGGAACCCUUAUUUAUACAAGUGCAGGAUUCAUCUCAUCUAUUGAUCUUCCCUUCGAUCCAACUAUUGUGUUUGAAUACAAGCCAUCAUUACAAGUCUGUACACUAGGCCACUCAAUGGCUAGGCCUUGGGAAGCCCAUGGGCAUGUGUCAGAAGCAAGAUCAGGAUCAGUAGGGCCGCCUAAUACGAAGCAGCUAAAUGGUCACGGGCUUUUGUCCGUAUUGCGCAUGGGCCGAUCGUGAGUUGAUCAUGGGUUGUUCAUGGAUUGGUCAUGGGCUACUCGUGGACUGCCCAUCGUGUGUGACGCGGUCCCAUCCGGUCGGUCUUGGAUCAUGCUCCGUUUGUGGGCUGUGUCAUAUGCAUGCUCGCCCUAAACAUUCCUUGUUGAUUCCAGCCACACUAAAAGUUCUCCUUUAUCUACCCAAAAUGAUCUUCGAGAUUAUUUAAUUUCUAAAAGUUCUCCUUUAUCUACCCAAAAUGAUCUCCUCGAAAUCAGCUGGUCACGGACCACCUUUUUUCUUGGGUCAAAAUCAUAUAUCGCACAAAUCAUGGCAACGUGUUUAGCACUCCUUCACUUUAUUGUGCGCGCACGUGGUGUAUCUGCUUGUUCAUCGUCCUUGUAGGCUACGCAAUUAUUGAUUUGGACGUGCCCUGCGUUGAAUAAGCGAAAUCUUGUUACACGUAAGGGAUUGCACGUGAAAAAGAACUUGCCUGGAGCUCUUGUGAAAAGGAAUAAAACCAUGUGCUAACGCCAGUAAAGUCAUAGACCUUAGGGAAUAAAUUGUUAAUAAAUGGUAGAGGAGAAGGUCUAAAGAAAGGUUGAUGAUAUAACGUAACGGAUUCGCAGGUAUAUGGUGUUUUUAGCGUCGUGCACGAAAUUGGGUUUUAUUUAGAAUUAUAAAUCGAAUGAGUGCAAAUGGGAUAAUUAGUAUAUUCGCUGAAAAUGUAUAUAAUUAAUUGCUUAAGCCUUCCAAUGUGUUUCCUUGGCUGGGAAUAUGUAGUUAGAACCGAGUGUUGCUGGAGUACAAGAUUAGAGUUCAUAAAAGUAGUUUACAAGCGGAAAGAAGCUUGAUUUCAGUAGUAUCCAUCGGCACCCGAACUAAGCUCGGCUCAUUUUAUGAAAUGGGGUGCAUCCUAUUCAUAUCUUGGCCAUAAUUUAUAUUAUGUGGACUAUAUAUGUGACAGCCCAAGCGGCGGUGCAUGGGGAGGAGGGAUGGCAGUGCGUCCGCACCUCGGUCCCUGGACGUGCAUAGGGAAGGGGUCCCUUUCUUAUCCCACAUCGUUUAGAGGGGAGUCCUAGGCUAGUUUAUAAGGCUUAGGUCCUUCUAAUCUGUGUAACACGUUUUAAAGUUGUGAGUACUUAGUGUCCAAAGCGAACAAUAUUACACAGUGGGGCUCGGGUCCUUAUAAUAUAUAAGACUUACUCAACAUAACGAGUGAGAAGCCUAGUACACAAUCGUGUACAUGCAAUAAUUUGUUAUCUAUGUGGGAAGUGAGCAAGUAUAUUAAUUAGGCAAAUGAGUUCUACGUGCAUGCAUGUCAAUUAAGGGCAUAUUGGCUACACCAUACGACAUAAAUAAGUAAGAUAGAGCGGCAUACGAAAUUGAACUUGUAGAAAGCAAGACGAAAAACUUACCUUCUGGUAUUAUAGCAUUCAAUGUAGUCGAUUGACAACUGUGAACUCAAGACCUCUAUGAGAUGAGAGGUAGGCCAUUGAGGAACUUCUGUGCCUUGUUGUCCGUUUGAUACAAAGAAACAAUGAGUUUCAUGGAUGCAUUUCUUAUUUUAACGUGCUAAUGCUCACAUGCUCUCUCAAUUAGUACAGUAUGUUUUUUCUUGCCCUAUGGCUGGCAAUACCCUCAAUCCGAAUGAGAACUUAGAUGAAGCCUUUUAAGAACUUUCUUAGGUCCGAUUCGAUCGAAAUAUGUGAACUCAAGACCUGUAUGAGAUGAGAGGGAGGUUAUUCAAAAGCAUGAUGUGUUAUGAUAAAAACGACUGAAGAGGAGAGCGAAGGAGAUCGAGGCUUCACUGCAUUUAUUCACCAACUAGAGAAGCAAGCAGUACAUCCGCAAACCUUGAGGCGCAUAAGAUGUACUACAUAGUACAGUGUACUUUCCCUCACCAUCACUUCCAGUCCUCGACAUCUUUUAGUUUAGAUUACUUAUCAUAGUUAGCCAUUUCUAGGGUUAAGGGGAAACAAACCCACGAAUUAGGGUUUGUGUUCUAGGUUGACUUUAAGAAUUAUCCUCCGAUGGUCGUUUCUAUUUUAACAAUUUCCUUGACAAAGAAAAAUAUGAACUUUUAUUCGUAUAAGUAAAUUGCAACAAGUGCUAGUAAAUGUCACAGAAUUAUCUUUAAAAAGGGAAAAAUUUCAAAAGGAGACCCGAAGUGCCAUAUUUUUUCUUAAAUAAGGGUUCAAAGUGGACUUUAUUUUAAAUAAGGACCUGAAAUGCUAUCACUUUCUCAAAUAAAGGUUGAAGUGGAUAUUAUUUCAAAUGAGGACCUAAAGUGAUUAUGUUGUUUCAAAUAAGGGCCUAAAGUGACUAUGUCCAUUUCAAAUAAGAACUUGAGUUUUCGACGAUCAAGGAUAUUUUUGUCAUUUGUCAUUUUUCUCCUUUUUUUUUUCUUCCUUUUUUUCUUUCAUUUUUCUAGUUUUUCUUCAUCUUCUGGCCACUAGUGAUGCCCACAGAGGACUGGGCAAGGUCGCCCUCGUAGACAAGGGCCACUUAUGCCGACCAUAGGCAAGGGACGGCCUCGCCUAGGCGAGGCAACCCUUGCCCAAGGGCCAUCCGAGAGGCCGGCAUGGGCUGACCCCAAGUGAGGCCAACCCUUGCCAGAUCUAGCAAGGGUGGCCUCGCCCACGACCGACGAGGGCUGGGCGACCUCGCCGUCCUCUGGCAAGGCGACCUUGCCAUCCUCUGGCAAGGGCUAACGAGGCCACCCUCGCUAGAUCUGGCCAGGUUUGCGACAGGCAAGGCCACCCUCGCAAGAUUCGGCAAGGGUCGGCCUCACCUGGGGCCGAUGAGGGUUGACUUCACGGAUGGCACCCGGGUGAGGGUCGCCAUGCCCAGGUGAGGCUAUCCCUCACCUAUGGCCGGGGAGGGUAACCCUCGCCCAACCCUCUAUGGGCAUCCUAGCCACCGGCGAGGAGGAAGAAGAAGAACCAAAAGAAAAAAAAAAGGGAAAGAAAAAAAGAGGAAAAUACCAAAUGACGAAAAUACUCUUAAUCGGUCAGCAAAUUUAGCUGGCUGACAACCGUCAAAGUCAAGUCCUUAUUUGAAAUAACUAAAGCUACUUCAAACAUUUAUUUGAAACAACAAAGACCACUUCAAGUCCAUAUUUGAAAUAAAAUUCACUUCAGGCCAUUGUUUGAGAAAAUAAGAGCACUUUUGGUCCUUUUUUGAAAUUUUCCCUUAAAAAAAUGACGUGACGUUUUUGUCUUACUUUUUUUUUCCAAGUAAUUAGCUGGUAACUUACCCCACUCUUAUUUCUUUACCAAAAAAAACUUACCCCACUCUUAUUGAAAUUACUAAUUACUUUUGUACUUUGCAAAUUACCAAUUUUUAUACUAACAUAUCAAAUUUUAUUUGAAUAAGUUACUAAGUUUUCGAACAAAUUAAUCCCUAAUAUUAAAGUACCAACCUAAUAUAGGAAAAGCCACCAACUUAUAUCAAAUUAAACUACCUUAAGUUAUAAGGUCUUGGUUGAGUUACUGGCCAAUGUUUAAUUGUCUUUAUAAUAUAUGAACGUAUCUAUUGAGUUCUAAAUUUUUUUUUCUUCUUGGUUAGCAAUCUUUUAAAUUUAAAAUCUAGCUCGAUGACGUAGGUUGUCACCAAGACAUCUGGAACCUCAGUUCUAGGUCGAUCUACGGUUGACUCCCUCAUACAGUUUGAUCCAGGUGAUCUUGGUGAUAUGCGCUUGGAUCUUGAAGCAACGAGGGGUUGCGGUCGAGAGCAAAGGUGCAAAUGACGAGAUGUGAGCCAGGCUGGAGGCAAGUGACAGGUGAUGCAUGACAAUGGUAGAGUGAGAAAGCCGACAAGGGUGGUGUUGUACAGCCGAGAGGCGGGUCUUUUGUAGGCUGAGUGAUAAAGAAAGGGGCUGUAGACGCACAAGGGUACUUUUGUCACAUAAUUUUCUUAGGGUGUGUAUAGAACUAAUUUGAGUGUGGAAUUAGCAUGAUCCAAAUUUUAUUAAGAGACGGAGAGACAACGGAUAAUUUUAAUUAUAUUUUAAACCAAAUUUCGUGACGAAUAUAAUUUGGUUAGUUAACAUAAAAAUAAUACGUUUUAGCCAAAUAGGGUGUGGAAAUGGCAACACCCUUCUUUAUACAUUAAAAGUUUUUGUUUGAAAAUUUUCACAUCCAUAAAGGUGUGCUCUUUUUCCUAGUAAUACAGAGAUUUUAAAUCAAAAUAGAGGUGUCUCUAUUCAAAAAUGCAUACGGCAGUCGGACACCUAUCUGCUUUGAUCUCUGUCUAGCUUUAACUCCACAGACAUCUGCAAACUUGUUCUAAUUAUAAUGCCCAUAUACCUGUAUACUAAAGCAUCCACCUCUGAUUUAUUUUUUAUGUUUUAUAUAUAUAUAUAUAGUCAGGAACCAUUUUUUCGGCUCCCUCGAUUAGCAACGAUUACAAAAAUUACUUUAAGUAAUACCUUUAGGAUGGGGGUCAAAAUUCGAGUGUGAAGAUGGAUUCCCACCUUUGACUAGUCAACGUCAGAAGCCUCCAAGAGCGAUUAAGGUGCCACAUAAUCCUCCUCAAGGGCAGUGGUUUGUAGGGAAGGAAAUCCAUAGUAGUCCGCAAGAAAUUCAGCCUUUCGAGCAAAAACCGAUGUCGAGGACUCGAAGAAGGAGAAUGCAGCGAAAGAAAAAGUUGCAGGAAUUACAUACGCAAGCCGACACUUUGAUAAGACCGAAAGUAAACAUUGCGGUGAAACCAAGAGCCUAGUUUGGGUAAGACAUGAGGGAGAUUCUCUUGAGAUGGAUGGACAAUAUAGUAAUUGUUAGGAAGAUGACAUUGUGCAAAGAAAGAGCCCUUCUUGAAAGCAAAAAGAAGAAAAGAUCGAGAGGAAGGUAGACAAAGUGAAAAGUAAGCAGAGAAAGGUCCAACUUUGGUUCUUCAGCUUGCUCAAACAUGGUGCAAGUGAGACUUUCUCUUGAAUUUAAAGCUUCUGCCAUGAGGGUCGUUCCGACAGAAGAAGAAACUUGCGAAUUGAUAGAGACAGUCAGGACAGAAUUCAAAUUCACUAAUGAGGAAGUGGUGAAAUUCGAGAAACUUCCGAUUCAUAAGACGAAGCACUUGAAAGCCUCAUGCUGGUAAGCAAGAUUGAAGGCCGUCCAAUUAAUAGGAUAUUAGUUAAUGGGGGAGCUACUCUAAAUCUUAUGCCUUGCCGAUACUUUCGGAAAAAUCAGUAAAGAUGAGAAGAAAAUAAUCCCUACCAGUGUAACACUCUCGGAUUUUCGAAAGACAUACACGAUGCUAAGGGGGCAAUGGUAGUUGAUGUCACAAUUGGGUUGCGUACUACGAAAACAACAUUUUUGUUAAUAGAUGCCGACUACUCUUAUAAUUUGUUGUUGGGAAGGGAUUGGAUACACAGCAAUCGGUGAAUACCCUCAUUAUUACAUUAGAUCCUAGCUUUCUGGAAUGAAGACAAGGUAAAGUAUGUAAGAGCAAAUCAUGAGUUCGAGCAUUACUUGGGCCGAUGUAGUUCAAAUGGAUGCUCCUGAAGAUGAUGCAGUAUCCGUUAUAGAACCACCUUGCACGGAUACCAAUAAGCUUGCAUGCGACCGCUUUACUGAAAUGGGGUUUAAGUGGAUCCCGAAGAAGAACAAGCUGGCCAAGGGGAAAUUCGAUGUUUUAUAUGGAAGAAAGCAACUUGUUACAAGAGUUGGAUGAGUGGUACUCUUGCUACUUAGCAGAGGAGACUAAGAACUCUCUAGGGUUUGUUGAUUGCAAAGGGGAUUUGGAGGACUCUCCACUCAGGGAGGACCCGAAAACAAUUAAAUCCGAAGAUCCGCUCAUAGAAAUUGAUAUAAGUGAUGAUGAAGUAAAGCAAAAUAUCUUCAUAAGUGCAUUACCGAGUGAUGAAUUCCAAUAUGAUUUAGUGGAAGUCUUACGGAGGCAUAAGGGUUGUUUUGCAUAGGACUACCAUGAAAUGACGGGUUAGGUAGGGAUAUUGAGCAUCGUCUCCUAAUAAAACCAGGUUGAAAGCCUCAUAAGUGAGAUAGCUAGUAUAAGCACCUAGAGGGGGGUGAAUAGGUGUAAAAGUAUUUUCUCGAGAUAAGAGAGCAAUGUUAAGCAAACAAUAGAAAGGAAAUGAUAUUUUCGUUAACAAAGUGAAUAAUGAUCAAAGUAAAGUAGAGAGUAGGGAAGAGAAAAUGAACACAGAAAUUAUAGUGGUUCGGCUUAUUCCAAGCCUACGUCCACUCUUCCGCACUGACAGCCCACCGGCUGGAUUUCACUAUGAACAAAAGAGUUGUUACAGCAAUGCUCUUCCUUGAUUCCACAGUGUAGAUACUCUACCACACUUCCUCAAGGUUUCUCAAGAAUAUGAACUCUCUUUUGCGUACAAGAUUUCGCUCAGAAAAUGAAUUGACUAAGAACAAAGAGCUUCAGACUUUGGAAUUCUUCUAUCGCGCACACACUCAAACAACUUGAACGACUUCCUUAUAUACUCCUUUAUGCCAUCAUACCCGUUGGCACUUACCAAAGGAAUUCUUCAAAUCUUCCCGUUGGACAGAAUCAAUUAGGAAGAUCAUUCGAGCUAUUUAAGGAACAUGUCGAUAGCCCAUUAAUCCUGCUCGCCCAUACAAUCAGGAUCUCAGUUUCCAUAAGUAGAACCUUCCAAGUAUACUUCGCCAAUCAUCGGAUCCUCAAUCUUUGAAUCAAUAAAGGAUUCCGUUAUGUCAUAUCCAGCCAAGAGAUCUUCUCCAGUCGAUAAGGUCAAAUCUUUAACGAAACAUCCAGUCCUGGAUAGCCCUUCUUCGACGAAUUAGAAACUGUCAAUGAGAAUAAACUUUGAGUCUUGAGUCUGGCAGUCCGGAGGUCUUCAGACUUUAAAUUGUAGAGUCUGCAAAUCUUCGGACUAGACUGAUGGAAACGUUUUGUCAGCUUCAAAAUACUCCAGGAAUAUUUCUCCAACAAUCUCCCCCUUUUUUAUGGUGACAAAAUUUUCCUAUAGAUUUGGAUAACUUUGACCUACAAAACAUUACUCAAGCAAAUAUGGAUAUCUCAUAAAGAUAAAUGGCUUAUUGAUAACACUAAAAUCUGCAACCACAGAAAAUAGGUUAGUCUUGCAUAUGAGUAAAACCAUCCAUAAGAUAUCAAUAGUACUUAAUAUAAGCAGUCAAUCCAAAAUCCCAAAUCCAGUCCACGGCUAGACACAAAAGUCAAGUCAAACAUCAAAACAAAUCAAAAGUUCAAGUUCAAAAAAGUUCAAGGUUCAAAGUUCAAAUCACAUUUCUCCCCCCUUUUGUCAUCAUAAAAAAGGUUGAGAUGGAAUCAAGAAUGUUUGGGAACAUGAACAAGCUGGAAAUCUCCCAUUAACUGGACAAUGCCUUCCAGCUUUGUCAACUCUUCCUUCAAUUGAGCCACCUCUUCACCCUUAGCAUUUGCUUGAAUCGAAGAGCAAGGGCUUGGAUCUGAUCAUUCAAAGAAACUGAAGAAGCUUGACUUGCAUUCUGCAAAUUCUAUACUUCGCAUCCUAGAGCAUAUAUCUGACUCCGCAUUUCUAAGAGAACAUCAAGAAUUAUGCGAAAAUCUGCUGAAUUAUCAGUCUACGUACUGGCUUCUGCACGAUCAGAUGGAGUAAAGGCAGACGAUGGCAAAUCAGCAUAGUCACGCAAAUUGGGCGAUGAAACAUCAUUGUCCCUCUUUAGGAAAUUGAGAGGCAUAGAUGUUCUCUGGAUCUGCUGGAGAGCGGCUGACUCCUUCACUGGUAGCAAGAUAUGAGGACAUUCCUCUUUUCUCACGAUCUCCCCCUAUUUCCAUGCCUUCAGGUGGAGAAGAGUGUUCCUCAUGCUCUCCUUCAUCUUGAUCUCCUCUUUCUUCUUCUUCUUCUUCUUCUUCUUCUUCUUCUUCAAUUCUUUCCUCCUCUGCAUCUCUUUCUUCAGCUCCUCUCUCCUCUGUUUCUUUCUCUUCUGCUUCCAAAUCUUCUCUUUCUCCAGUCCUCUGUUCUGUGUCUUUUUCUUGUCAUUCUAUUGAUUCUGGAACAAAACGACUCAGUUUUUUAAUGCCAUUGCAGUAAUGGUGAUGUCUUCUUCAUCUUCUUCAUCCUCAACAAUGAGAGCUCUUCUUUUCUUGUAUGGAGCAACCAUGGGCUCCUUCCCUUUUAUUUUUGCUGCCGAAGAGAUUUGAUGAGAUUUGACAGGGGUUUUCUCCUUGAAUUUCUCAACGCCUUGUUGAGUUCUUCAGACGCAUUUAGAUACCAUUUUCAGUCCCACUACCAUUUGAUCACAAGUUCGAACACAGAGAAUCCGAGGAGGCUGAACAUUCAAAUGUCUGAAUAACUUUGUCACAAUAGUUGGAUAAGGAAGUUGACCAUUGUCCUUCACCACUGCUCUAUACAUGUGGAAUAUAAUAGUGUGAGGAAGAGAAAACUUUUUCCUAGCAUUGAUGGCAUACAUCAGCUUUGCCUCUAAGUUUGAAACAUCAGUCUUUGGAGUAGAUUUUGGUCUAAGGCAAUUUAUCACAAUCUUGUGAAGCAGAAUGUUGAACGCACUUAUCCUUGAGUAGGAAACAUUUCCUUAUGUCCUUCUAUCCUUAACAAGUUCCAACGUAGUACAAGCAAUAGAGAUAUUGAAAGGUUGAUAUCUCCCUCUCUCAACCCCAAUCACAUCAGCCAACAUAUCUACAUCCACCACAUAGUCCUGAUCUUGGACACUAAAAGAGAAUCUAUUUGCAUUUAAGAAACUGAGAUUCAAAUAGAAAUAUGCAGUGAGUUCAGCAUAGGCUUCUGUAGAUUCAGAACAGAACUGUUCAAGUUGAAGAAGACUGAAUUUUUCCCUUAAAUUAACGUUCACAGCAUCAAGGAAAUCAAAAUCCACACUCCUAGGGUUUAUGACUCCACGCUUCUACAACUUAGAGUAUAGAUGCUUGUGUUCCUCCGAUCAAAACAAGUCUGUCCUUUUGCUCCAAUUUUUUGCCGUAACACCCAUUCUCGGUUGAAACUGACUGUACAACUUGUCAUCAUCAUUCCCAUCUGGCUGAUUCAGCCCUCCAACACGUGGAUCGAUUGGAAUAUUUUCCAUUGCCUCUUCUGCUGACCCAGCAGGGGCAAUUCCCAACCAUUCCAUUGUGCGUAAAAAGAAGGUUUCAUUUUUGUAUCCUUUGUCUUUCAGAAAUUCGUCAAUGUAGUUCAAAGGAGUUCCACCUCUUUUCAAAGCACGAUAAAGCUUGUAGGUAAAAGAGGGCUUAAGAGUUCUUACGGGUUCUGCAUCUUCGAUUAUUUCUUCCUCUUCUUGAUGAGCAACAUCCUGUGGUCUAGAUGGAGAAGAUGGACGCUGCUGAGAAUGUUCUGGGCUCUGCUGCUGACUAGGAAACUCUUCUUCCUCGGUGAGAUCAAAGUGCGUAGGCCCCUCACACAUUUGCUGUGGUCCCCUAUUCGCAAUCCUCGAAGACUUCCUUUGAGACAACAUCUUUCACAGUCUUUGAAAGAUUCCAAACUUGACUUUCCCAAUAAAGAUGACAAAUUUUCGAAGAUUAAACAAGAGAAGAAGACAUAAGUGGAAGAUUGAUGCUUUUUAGGAUUUUUGGAGUUAAACGAAACGGAACCGACAGUAUAUAGGUCAGUCAAAGAGAGGCAUAUAAAACGUCGUAAUGGAAAGUAAAAAGAUGUCCUUUUAAAAAAUAACUGUCUUUUUAAAAAAAAUUAGAUAACUGCCAUUUAAAAUUAACUCCAUUUUCGAAAAAGAAAGAUUGCACUAAUCACAGAAAUUGAAAGUAGCAAAAGUCAAUUAUGGACAGAUGAUCGUACCUUUUCAAGAUUUAAUCUGAGAGAGAAUAAAAUAACUUACAAUCAAAGAUCUUGAUUGUCUGAGUCUGAGAGUCUCUAGACUUUUACUUCCUCAAUCCUCAAGAUGUUGAGUCUGGAACGAAUGAUUUCAAAUUGAUUUUUCUCCAACAGUUUUGUGAAUAUAUCCGCCAGUUGGUUCUUUGAGUCAACAAACUGAAUCGAAACUUCUCCAUUCUGAACAUGAUCUCUAAUGAAGUGAUGUCGAAUCUCUAUAUGCUUUGCUCUUGAGUGAAGAAUUGGAUUCUUGGUGAGAUUGAUUGCGAUGGUGUUGUCAUAGUUAAUCUCCGUGCAUGAAUCUUCAAUUCCAAAGUCUCUUAGCUGUUGUUUUAUCCACAGAAUUUGUGAACAACAACUUCCAAGAGCUACAUACUCUGCUUCUGCUGUAGAAAGAGCCACUGUAUUUUGCUUCCUUGAAAACCAAGACACUGUCCUGCUUCCAAGUAGUUGACAGGUACCCGAGGUGCUCUUUCUAUCAAUUCUGCAUUCGGCUAGAUCUGCGUCUGAGUAUCCAAGAAGAGUAAAGUCUCCAUUUUUAGGAUACCAAAGAUCAAGGCUUGAAGUUGAUGCAAUGUAUUUGAUAUUACACUUUGUAGCACUUAGAUGAGAUUCUUUAGGGUCUGCUUGAAAUCUAGCACAAAUGCAAACACUAAACAAAAUGUCAGGUCUAGAAGCAGUAAGAUAAAGAAGUGAACCAAUGAUACUCCUGUAUAGCUUUUGAUCAACUUUCUUUCCUCCUUCAUCUUUGUCUAUCUUCAAAGAACUUGACAUUGGUAUAUCAGUCUUUUUGCAAUUUUCCAAUCCAAACUUUUUGACAAGAUCAUUAGCAUAUUUUUCUUGAUGAAUAAAGGUUCCUUCCUUCAAUUCUUUCACUUGAAGUCCAAGAAAGAAGGUUAGUUCACCCAUCAUGCUCAUUUCAAAUUCAUCCCGCAUAGACUUAGAGAAUUUCUUGCACAAACUUUGAUUAGAGGAUCCAAAAAUAAUAUCAUCAACAUGUAUUUGAACAAGCAGAAAACUUUUGCUUUUUCUUUUGAUAAACAGAGUAGUGUCUACUUUACCUUUGACAAAGCCGUUUUGAAUUAAAAAUUUACUCAGCUUGUCAUACCAAGCUCGAGGUGCUUGCUUUAAACCAUAUAAAGCCUUUAUCAAUCUGAAUACUGAGUCUGGUUUUCUUGGAUCUUCAAACCCAGGUGGUUGUUCACAUAGACUUCCUCAUGGAUAAAUCCAUUCAGGAAAGCACUUUUGACGUCCAUUUGGAAUAACCUGAAAUUCUUAUAACAAGCAAAAGCAAGUAAUAAUCUAAUUGCUUCUAACCUCGCUAUUGGUGCAUAAGUGUCAUCAUAUUCUAUCCCUUCUUCUUGCGUAUAUCCCUUGGCCACAAGUCUUGCUUUGUUUCUUACAGCCUUUCCUUUCUCGUCCAUCUUGUUCCUAAAAACCCAUUUAGCUCCAAUAAUAGAUUUACCUUUCGGUUUAGGAGUCAAUUCCCAAACAUCAUUAAUACUGAAUUGCCUGAGUUUUUCUUGCAUGGCUUCAAUCCAGUUUUCAUCAGAUAAAGCUUCUUCUAUGCUUUUGGGUUCUAUUUCAGAAAUAAGAGCCACAGCACUAGACACUUCACGCCUUUUGGAUCUUGUGCGAAUUCAUUCAUUAAUGUCGCCUAUAAUUAGAUCUUUGGGAUGAAUGGAUUUAUGCUUCCAGUUACUGGUUGAUUUGUCAGGUUGAUGAUCACUUUCUUCAUUUGAAUCUUCAACAAUCAUUUGAUGCUAGUCUUUCGAAGUCUGAGCUGCUUCUUGAGAUUUAGACUUUGUAGAGUCUAGAGCAGGUUCAGAUUCUUCAAGAUGAGUCUGAAUAGAUUCAUUUUGCAUAGAAUCUUGGAAUUUGACAUUCAUUGAUUCCUCCACAGAUUGAGUCUUCUUGUUGUAGACUUUGUAGGCUUUGCUUGAGGUAGAAUAUCUAAGGAAGAUGCCUUCGUCUGAUUUUUCUUCAAACUUGCCAACUCGAUCAUUUGCAUUUUUCAAUAUAAGGCAUUUACAUCCAAACACAUGAAAAUAUGAAACAAUAGGCUUCUUUUCUUUGAAUAACUCAUAAGGGGUUUUUUCCAGAAUAGGUCUUAGAAAAACUCUAUUAAUAAUAUAACAUACUGUAGAAACUGCUUCAAUCCAAAAACGUGAAGAGAUGUUACUUUCAAUUAAAAAAGUUCUAGCCAUUUCUUGAAGUGACCUAUUCUUUCUUUCCACAACUCCGUUUUGCCCUGGAGUAUAUGGAGAGGAGAACACAUGCUGAAAACCAGAUUCAUCACAGAAUUUUGUAAAAUCUUGAUUUUCAAAUUCACCUCUAUGGUCUGUUCUUAUACUUGAAAUAACAUACCCUUUUUCAUUUUGAAUCUUUUUAGCAAACUUUUCAAAGUAAGAAAAUGUUUCAGACUUACUUGUCAAGAAAUAUACCCAAGUAAAUCGUGAGUAGUCAUCCACAAUUACUAGGCAAUAUUUCUUACCUCCAAUGCUUUGAGUUCUGGUUGGUCCAAAGAGAUCUAUAUGCAGACGCUGCAGUACACGAUUAGUGGAAACUUGAUUUAUUGGUUUAAAUGAAUUUCUUACCUGCUUUCCCAAUACACAUGGUGUACAUAGAUCAGACUUUUGGUAUGACAGAUUAGGUAGACCACGAACUAACUUCUUUGUUGAAAUUUUGGCUAUUUGCUUCAUAUUGAUGUACCCAAGUUUUUUGUGCCAUAAGUUCGCUUCGUCUUGAAUUGAGAUUAGACAUUGCGAUUCAUCUGGUUUCACGUCCAAGAGGUAGAUAUUUCCAUGUCUUCGACCCAUGAAUGACUGAGUAGAAUCUUUACCGGUUCCUGAACAUAUUCCUUCUUGAAAGUUGAUUUUGAAACCGGUAUCGCACAGCUGACUGAUACUAAGCAGAUUGUAGUUGAGUCCUUCCACUAAGGAAACAUUGCUGAUUGUGAGGUUUCUAAUCUUUACAGUUCCGAAUCCCACAAUUCUUCCUUUGUUGUUUCCUCCAAAUGAGACUUUUCCACCAUUUACUUGAAUGAGCUUUAUGAAGCAAUUUGAAUCUCCUGCCAUAUGUCUUGAGCAUCCACUAUCCAGAUACCAUUUUACAUUCUUCUUGAUAGUGACUUGCAUUUAAAAAAGUGACUCAAACUUUCUUUGGUACUCAUAUUUUCUUGGGUCCAUUGGUGUUAGUAUGAUAUGCGGUUUUUGCCCAUACUUUCUUAACAGGUUUCCAAACCAUAGGACAUUCUUUCUCAAAAUGAUCUGAACUAUUGCACUUUGAACAUCUAAGAGCAUUGCGACCUACUGGUUUUACAAAGACCUUUUUAAAAUGAUUUUUGUAAGCAUCUCUUGUGGGUCUUUGCUUAAUUCUUUCCUUCACUUUAGGAAAAUCAAUUAAAGGAAUGGUUUCCACAGUCAUUCCCAAACCAGAUUUAUUGAAAUAAGGUCUUUGUGCUGAAAGAAUUUUCUCAAGUUUCUCAGAUCCUAUUGAAAAUCUUUUGGAAAUAUUUGAUAUGUCAUUUUUUAAAAAUACAUUUUCUUUCGAAAGGUUGUCUUCUCUUUCUUUAAGAGUAGAAACAUUCAUGUCUAAACAUUUCACAUUUUCUUUCAAAACAUUUUCCUGUUGUUUCAGUGCAGAAUUUUCCUUUUUAAGUUCGGAAAUCCUUUUAAGAGAGGUCUUAAGACUAAAACACAAAUCAUCAAUGUAUUUAGAAACUUUAAUAGGGAUUUUAGAGUUACUCACCUCAAAUUCACUGUCUGAAUCUGAGUUUGUCUCGGAGUUUGAAUCUGAAUUCGAUUGUGCCAUCAAACAUAUAUUGGCAUAAUCAUCAUUACUUUCUUCACAUUCUGUAUCACUCCAGGUUUCUGUUUUAAGAGCCUUUCGAUACUUUUCAGCUUUUCCUUUCUUCUUCCUCAGAAGAGGACAGUUGGGUCUGACGUAUCCCUUUUUCUUACAUUCAAAGCAGACUACAUGUCUAUUUGAUUCAUCAUCCUCAACAGACUUAGUCUGUUGCUUUUGAAAACUUUAUUUCUUUGGAUUGAAUCUUCUUCCUUUUCUGUUAAGCUUUCUAAAUCUUCUUAUCAUGAGAGCAAGCUCCUCAUCAUCCAUAUCGUCUUCAAAAUCUGUAACAUCAUAAUCAUCAUUGGAUUUUAAUGCAAUGGAUUUCUUACCUUUAGGAUCUUCAUCUUCAUUGAUUCGUUCCAUUUCAUAAGACUGAAGAGUCCCAACCAACUCAUCUACAGAUAGUGGCAUAAUUCUUUGUGUCUCCCUUAUUGAGGUCUUUAUGUGAUUCCAAUCCUUGGAGAGUCCACGCAGUAGCUUGUUUACUUUCAUGAGAUCAAAAAUUGGUUGACCUUGAUUUUCAAGACCAUUCACGAUUUCUGUAAAACGACUAAACAUGUCAGUUAUAGAUUCUCCUGAUUUCAUUUUGAAGACUUCCUAUUGACCGAGGAGAAUGUUGAUUCUGGUUUCUUUCACUCGAUCGGUUCCUUCAUAGGUAAUAUGUAAUCUAUCCCAAACUUCUUUCGCUGUAACACAAGAAGAUAUUCUGUUAUAUUCAAUAGGUGACAAAGCACAAUAUAAAGAAUAAAUUGCUUUUGCAUCAAGAGCUUGUCUCUUGGUUAUCUCUUCCUAAGUCAUUUCACUAGACUCAACAGUUUCUUUUCCUCUCUCCGAGACAGGUGCAGCUUCAGGAAUGAUUCCUUUAUCUACAACGUCCCAUUCCUGAGGAUCCUUUGAUCUUAGGAACGCCUUCAUCUUGUUUUUCCAUAUGUUGUAUUCAUUUCCAUCAAAGUAAAGCGGUCUGGUAUUGCUUUGCCCUUCUACCAGCCCUGUAGCUAACAUACUAGUCAUGGAUCUUUAACUCUGAAGUAAAACACUUCAAACAAAGUGAGUACACAGGCUCUGAUACCAAUUGAGAUAGCUAGUAUAAGCACCUAGAGGGGGGUGAAUAGGUGUAAAAGUAUUUUCUCGAGAUAAGAGAGCAAUACUAAGUAGACAAUAGAAAGGAAAUUCUCUUUUCAUUAACAAAGCAAAUAAUGAUCAAAGUAAAGCAGAGAGUAGGGAAGAGAAAAUGAACACAGAAAUUAUAGUGGUUCGGCUUAUUCCAAGCCUACGUUCUCUCUUCCGCACUGACAGCCCAUCGGCUAGAUUUCACUAUGAACAAAAGAGUUGUUAUAACAAUGCUCUUCAUUGAUUCCACAGUGUAGAUACUCUACCACACUUCCUCAAGGUUUCUCAAGAAUAUGAACUCUCUUUUGCGUACAAGAUUUCGCUCAGAAAAUGAAUUGACUAAGAACAAAUAGCUCAGACUUUAGAAUUCUUCUAUCGUGCACACACUCAAAUAACUGGAACAACUUCCUUAUAUACUCCUUUAUGCCAUCAUACCCGUUGGCACUUACCAAAGGAAUUCUUCCAAUUUUCCCAUUGGACAGAAUCAAUUAGGAAGAUCAUUCGAGCUAUUUAAGGAACAUGUCGAUAGCCCAUCAAUCCUGCUCGCCCAUACAAUCAGGAUCUCAGUUUCCAUAAGUAGAACCUUCCAAGUAUACUUCGUCAAUCAUCGGAUCCUCAAUCUUUGAAUCAAUAAAGGAUUCCAUUAUGUCAUAUCCAGCCAAGAGAUCUUCUCCAGUCGAUAAGGUCAAAUCCUUAACGAAACAUCCAGUCCUUGAUAGCCCUUUAGAAACUGUCAAUGAGAAUAGACUUUGAGUCUGGAGUCUGGCAGUCCGGAGGUCUUCAGACUUUAAAUUGUAGAGUCUGCAAAUCUUGACACUAGACUGAUGGAAACGUUUUGUCAGCUUUAAAAUACUCCAGGAAGAUUUCUCUAACAAUAAGCAGCCACUGAGAAGGUUUGCUCCCAAAGUGAACACAAAAAUAGAAGAGAAAACAGAGAGACUAUUGAAGGUAGGUUUCAUUGAAACCGCUUGAUAUGUUGAAUGGUUAUCUAAGAUAGUCCCAGUCAAGAAGAAAAAUGAGAAAUUGCGAGUUUGCAUUGACUUCAGGAAUUUAAAUGCUGUAACUCCAAAAGACAAAUAUCAAAUGCCAGUUGCCAAUAUGGUAGUAGACUCCACGGUUGGAAAUGAAAUGUUGUCCUUGAUGGAUGGCUAUUCGGGGUACAAUCAAAUUUUCAUUGCUGAACAUAAAGUCUACAAGACGACCUUUAGGUGCCCAGGAGCCAUAGGGUAUUUGCUUGGAAGGUUAUGCCAUUUGCAUCAAAGAACGUUGGAGCGACUUAACAAUCGGCGAUGAAUUUCAUUUUCCAUGAUAUGAUAGGAGAGUUCAUGGAGGUGUACAUCAACAAGAUCCUAGUCAAAUAAGAAGAGGUAAGUCAUCUCAAAUAUCUUGAGCAAUCUUUUGUUAGGAUGGAGAAGUAUCAAUUAAAAAUGAACCCUUUAAAAUGUGCAUUCGGUAUAAAAGUUGGGAAUUUCUUAAGAUUUUUGGUUAACAAUAGAGAAAGAGAUUAAUAAGAAUAAGGCUAAGGUCAUAUUAGAUUUAUCUCCUCCAACUAACAAGAAACAAUUGCAAAUGAUAAUCGAGAAAGUAAAUUUUUUGAAGAGAUUCAUUGCUAACCUAUCUGGCAAGAUAGAGGUGUUUUCUCCUUUGUUGAAAUUGAAAAAUUAAGAAGAAUUCAUCUGGUGAGAAGAACACUAGCGUGCCUUUGAGAGAAUAAAAGCAUACUUGACUAAUCCUCUAGUGUUGAUGCCGCCAAAAGCAGGCAGGCCUCUAAAACUCUAUGUGUCGGCCAUCGAUACAACUAUCGGUAGCAUGUUGGUGCAAGAGAAUGAUGAAGGCAAAGAGCGGAUAGUAUAUUAUCUCAGUAAGAUGUUGAAUGAUGACGAGGGAAGAUAUGUUGCUUUUGAAAAGAUCGGUUUGUCUUUGUAUAUUGCAUGCACAGAUUUGCGACAUUAUUUGUUUGCCAACUGUUCAUGUGAUAUGCAAAACCAAUGUUAUCAAGUACAUGCUUACGAGGUCUAUAGUGAAAGGCCGAGUGGCAAAGUGGUCUUUCACAUUGUCUCAGAUGGAUUUAAUAUGAAAGACGUAAAGGGACUAGCUGUAACUGAUUUUCUUACCAAAUACCCAUGUGUUCAAGUCGAAGACAUCGGAAGCGAAAAUUAUGCACAACUACUCCCAUGGUUACUAUAUUUUGACGGUUUGUCUACGUCCAUCACAUCAGGAGUACGAGUUUUGAUUGUGUCACCAAGGGGACACAAAACGAGAUUCCAGUUUAGGCUUGAUUUCAAAUAUUCUAAUAAUCAAGCUUAAUAUGAGGCACUCAUAGUCAACCUCUACUUGUUGGCUGACAUGAAUGUACAAACGAUUAAAGUGAUGAGUGAUUCGCAAAUAGUAAUCAAACAAUUAAAAUGUGAAUAUCAAUAUCUUAAUAACAAUAUUAUGGAGCACUAUAACACGACUAAGGAAUUGUUAGCUAGAUUUCCUGAUUCGAAACUAGUGCACCUACUACGAUAUCAAAAUACGAAAGCCAAUAAACUUGCUCAGAUGGUAUCUAACUAUCGCAUCCCGAAAGAACUAGCUUACACUUUAGUAAAUGAGAUAAAAGCAUUGCCACCUAUGUCACAACAGGUGAUGGCCGCGAAAGCCACAACAAAAGGAAACAAUCGAAAUUGGUGAAUGCUGAUAAUAGAGUAUUUGAAGAAACCCAAGUCUUGAGACAAAGGAUUGAAGAAGCAGACACUAAAAUGUGUGGUCUUAGGUGAGGAAUUUUAUCAAUAUACCAUUGAAGGGGUAUUGUUGAGGUGUCUGAAUGAAGAGGAAGCAAUGUUGGUGAUGGCUAAGGCUCAUGAAGAGAUUUAUGGAGCGCAUCAAGCAAGUAUCAAAAUGAAGUAGCUGUUGGCCCAAGAUUGCACAAGUUACGUGAAAGGAUGCAAACCUUGCCAAAUGCAUGGCCUAAUCCAACAUGUCCCAACAACUUUGUUGAAGCCGCUAAUGAAGCCAUGGCUUUUCAAAGGAUAGACAAUAGAUGUUAUUGGGAAGAUAUACCCACCGUCAAGCAAGAAAUAUUCAUUUAUACUCCUGGCCACUGUUUACUUCACCAAGUGGGUGGAAGCAGUAUCAUACAGGAGCAAGACGACCCAUGACUAUAUGCUUAUUUCGAGAAAGGUAAAAAGCUAAACCCGUGAGGUCCUGAGCUACUUGAAGGGAGGGGUGACAAAAAAAAGAAUUUAGACAACUAGUAGAGCAAAAAGGCAACAUGCUUCUCAUCCUCAACAUCUCUUGUCUGACAAGCAAAGGCUUUUUGGAAACUAGUAUAGGAGAAGUCUACACCUUUUCCGAAGAUAUCACAAGCCGAAGGAUUAAUAGCGUUAGCAUCAUCACCAUUUGAGCUCAAACUAGUGAUGGCGAACACACCAAGAAAAGUUACUAACAUAGGGCCUGACCUGAAGAAGAAAGAGUUAACAGACGGCCACUAAAAGCGUGCAAGGCUACCCAAAAGCUUGUGAUUGAGUUUCCAAUCAAAGGUGCAAAACUCCAAAGCCUUGUCAAUUCGAGCCUUACGGCACACCUCCUGCUUGACAGCCUUCAACAUAUAAUACCAAUCGAAGAAAGUGCAGUCGAAGGGGUAAAAAGCCCUAAGUUUUUAGGUAGGAGACAACAAGACAUGCUCCAAAAGAUGGUCCUUUGAAAGGGGAGUGGUUCUUCCACAUUUCGAAGGAAACAUUCAGCAAGAAAGGGAGGAGAAAUCGGUGUUUGCAAACAGGGGCCGAGGAUGAUUUCGUCAGCUACUUCUUCUGUGGAGCUUUGAGGCGAUAGGAGAACAUUUUUUGCAUGUUCCUAUGACUAGAUUUGUUUGAAACAAGCAAGAAAAGUGUCGGGAUUAUACGAUCAAUACAUGGUAGGACCAGAAGGGGACCGGAAAUGUUAAAGAUGACCAAAAAAUAUAUAUAUAAAUUCAAUCUUGAGACUCGAUGCUUCAAUGGCAUCAAAAGCAGCAAAGGAAGGUCAAGAGCUACAAAUACAGAGGAAAAGGAAAAAAAAUGAAAUAUUCAAAAAAGACGUGGGUUUGGAAACCCUAAAAAGCACCAACUUGCGUACGAAAGGAGGUUGAAACAACAGCACGAGAAGAAUGAGGUGAUAAUGCUAGUCAAUACAAUCAUCAAUAUAUUUAAAAGAAUUAAAACAAGCAAUCUAGACUAUGUAUGAAAUGAAAAGUUGAAUGGUGAGGCUUAUACCUUCAUGGAUUAUUAAUUUUAGAGCGAUUGGAUCAUCACGCAAGAAAUUUAAAAAAACGUUGGAGGGAAUUUGUCAAAUUCAAUAAGUUGAUGUAGGUAUAAAUUUUAAAUAAGAGGCUUUAUGGAUAAUCAAAUAUUCGACCUAUGUUCCAAGUGAACGCCUUUUUUACCUACAAGUUUGAUGAAUUAUUAGCCAUUGACUAUAUUCUUUUUAAUUUUCGUUUUAGGCUUGACUAUAGCGUCGGUGGUGUAGAAUUUCUAUCGGUUCUUGUGGUUGUUGGUAUGUGUAUUGAUGGAUCCAUGGAAUAGGAUAUGAAUUAUAUGUAUAAAUAAGUUCUAUGCUCAUUUAAAUUCUUCCACUAUUUUAUUUCGAAAUAAAAAAGGGAAAAUUACCAAUUAGUCAUCAAUCUAUUGUAUAAAUGUUAAUUCAAUCCUAAACUUUUUAAUUUUACUAAUUGAGUCCUAAUUUGAAUAACUCACCAAAAUAGUCUUGAAUCUAUUGCACUUCCGCUAAUUUAGUCCUAAACCUUUCAAUUUGAUUAAUUUAGUCUUAAAGUUUUUGUCAAUUAAGUUAUUCCCACCAAUUUUGAUUGAAAAUUACUGACAUUGAAACUAGAUAUUAUAUGUAGCAUAGUUGGCAAUGAUUUGGAUAAUUUUUGUAAUUUUUCAAUAUUUUUAUUUUUAUUAUUUUUUGAAUUAUUUAUUUAUUUAUUUCUUUAUUUUCAUUUUCCAAGUGACUAUCAUCAACGACCCUUGUCAACUACAAGAGCCUUGCCCCCAACUAGCAAAGCCACAAAGGCUUUCGCCUUGACCUGGUAAGGGUCUUCACACCGUUGCCGCAACCUCACCUAAGGCCCUUAUGGCUGGCAAGGGUCGCUUGUGACCCUUGUUGACCACAAUGUAAAAAAGCAAAGAAAAAAUUAAAAGAAAAUUAAAAAAUCAGAAAAAAUUAAAAAAUUAUUCACAUUAGCACUAGUCAAGCCAUGUAAAAUACCUGAGGUCCAUAUCAAUAAUUUUCAAAUAAAAUUGGCUAGAAUGACUCAAUUGGUAAAUUAUUAAAAGGUUUAGAACUAAAUUAGCCAAAAUAUAAUGUUUAUGACUUGCAAUUGAUUUACAACUUUGUUUUUGUUUUUUUUUAUGCUCAAGAACCUUGUACAGCCGGUAGCCAGUGAGUAAACCUUGGGGCGAUGCUAGCGGAGGACCUACCACCUCGAUGUCGCGCUUAAGAUCCCAUACAUCCCACGGGAUUUUAACCCCUCCUUCUUGGGUAGACUUCAUGGGAGCUUUUAUCUAACUAGACCACCACAGGCGGUGAUGAUUUACAACUUUUUUGGUAAUUUUUUUUUUCUUUUUUGAUGACCCGGGAACCACCGUACAAACGGCAGUUGACGGCGUAAACCCGGGGCGACUGAGCUACCACCACAGACCCAGCAGCGGGUGAGUCGCGUAAUAGGGACACGGGCUUUCAAGUGAACGACCAGGGUCAAUCUCAACCCGAGAACCCGACCCGGUUCAUUUUUUUUAAUAUAUUAAUAUAAUAAUAAAAAUAAUAUUUUAAUAAAUAAAAAAUAAUUUUUUUCCAAAAAAAAUAAAAGCCCGGGAUUUUUUCCUUUAUAAAAAAAUUUAACCGAUUUUAGCUCACUUAAAAAUUCUAGCCCAACACAACCUAGCCCACGUGUAUAGGCUUGACCCAAGGAAACCCUACUUGGAAACAGGGAAACCGGGUUGGACGAACCCAUGAAUCGACCCGGUUUCCGACCUCCUCUCCCCUUUGCUCCUUCAUGGCGCUGGUGAGGGGGACUGAGGCGUCACCAGGCAAACGGCAGCGAUGGCGGCAACGACGGGCUUGACGGCGAUGACAAGCUAGACAACAAUGAUGGCGGUGACAGCAGCUACAAAUCGCUUACGAGGACGGCGAGGACGAGUGACAACAGAGUUAUGCUGAUGUGGUCAGUGGCGACACGGUUCGAGGAGGGGAAUGCGCCGAUCGCGUUGUUGGCGGCAGCAACGGCUACUGUUACCUGUCUGUGACGAGGCAGCGAAUGGUGGUGGUGACAGGGCAACGACAGCAACACGGCUCAGGUGGCAGCCGCAGCAGCAGUAGGAACAGCUUCAGAAUGGUGGCGGAGCAGUGGUUGCGUCGGCGACGGCGAGUCUUCUCCCUUCGGAUAUGGCCUUUGACCAUCCAAUUCCUCUCUCGCUCAACCUCCACCUGCUUGGAUCUCUCCCCCUCAGGCUCGCUUGCCACCGGCCUCCCCCAAAGUCUCUCAAAGAGAGGUCAUUUGAGCUCACGAUCCGAUUUCUCUCGCGUGCUCGCUCUUUGAUUCUCCCCUAAAGUCUCUCAAAGGAAGAUCUCCGAGUUCGCCGCGUCCCUCGACAGAGCUUGUGGCUGCCUAUUUAUAGGCGAGGGGGGGUCCGAUCGAUGGAGGGUCUCGGCUGGCCUUUGGCUUACCAAGCGGUCCUCCUCGAUUAAAUCAGCGUCCCAUCCGAGCUUUUCCAGCAAAGCAUGCUCGGCAUUGAAGGCAACCAUUAAUGGUGCCUGAGAUCUGUCAUCUCCAGUCGACGUUGGCCUACCCUCCUCGGCUGUAGGUUGUCCUUCGUGCGUCGGUCUCUUCUGUGCGUGUGAGUUGCAAAGGCAGAGGGGAAGAAGAGGGAGGAAGGAAGAAGAAGAAGAGAGCGGGGUCGGGCUGGUCAUGCGGGCCGAGCCAUGGGGGGCCUGCGAGAGAGAAAAAAGGAGGGGCUGGGCUCGAAGGCCUAGCUCGACGAGCUACAUUUGCUUUUUCCGUUUUUUUUUUCUUGUUGUUUUUUCUGUUUUUGUUAUUUAUUAUUUAUUAUUCGAAAAAAUGAAAAAUAAAAGAAAUUAAGGCCUAAUUAAUAACCUAAUCAAAAUUUAGGCGUCAACAGCUACCCUUCUUUGAAGGUGAGUUUGCAGAGGUUGCAUUCAAAGACAAACUAAUGCCUAAAUUUUAUCCAUGUAUGUGUAGCAGAUUAUAUUUUAUUUGGGACCUAUUGUCCUAUGCAGAAAAAGAGUAAUAUAACAUUACACAUACUAAUACAAAUAAGAAGAUACAUGUAGUUACUUACCGGGAGUGAGUGAGAUAGAGUGUGAACCCCAAGUUUGGCAAGUAUCAAAGUGUCAUCUUACCUGGUGACAUGAGGAGGUUGCUUCUCUAGGACACAAACCAUUCUUCGGUCACUUGUUAGAGUAAUAAGUGGUUUGUCUAGGUCCCGAACCUUUCUUUGGUUACCUUGACGAGGAAUUGCUUUUUCAAGACCCGAAUCUUUCUUUAGUUGCUUGUUAGAGCAAUAAGUGGUUUGUCGAGAACCUGAACCUUUAUUCGAUUGCCUUAACAAGGAAUUGCCUUCCCGGGGCCCGAACCAUUCUUCGGUCGCCUGUUAAAGUAAUAAGUAAUUUGUCCUAGACCUGAACCUUUCUUCGAUCGCCUUAAUAGGGAAUUGCCUUCCUAGGGCCCGAACCAUUCUUUAGUCGCCUGUUAGAGCAAUAAGUGGUUUGUUUAGGAUUCGAACCUUUCUUCGAUCGCCUGUUAGAGCAAUGAGUUGUUUACCUGACCUUUCUCGGGAGAUGUGCUGACCUUUCUCGAGACAUCUGUUCAUGGGUGCCUGAUCUUUAUCAAGGACACUAGUCGGUACCCGACCUUUCUCGGGAGAUGUGCCGACCUUUCUCAGGUAAUCGGUUUGUGGAGUGUCUGACCUUUGUCAAGGACACUAGUUGGUGCCCGACCUUUCUCGGGAGAUACACCAACCUUUCUCAGGGCAUCAAUUUGUGAGGUGCCUGAUCUCUAUCAAGGACACCAGUUGGUACUCGACCUUUCUUGGGAGAUGCAUCGACCUUUCUCAAGGCAUCGAUUUGUUAGGGUGCCUGACCUCAGUCAAAGAUCGGUUGGUACCCGACCUUUCUUGGGAGAUGCGCCGACCUUUCUCAGGGCAUGGAUUUGUGGAAGAUACCUGGAAAUUUACAGGCAUUUGAAAGAGUACCUAGAUAUUCACAAGUACUAACAUGGAGAAUAUUUGGGCCUUUGCAGGUGUCGAAGGGGUACUUGGAUCAUCACAAAUGCAAAUUUUGAAAGGUGCCUAGACAUUUGCAUAUGUUGAAGGAGUACCCGAUUGCUUGCAGGUGUCGAAAGAGUAAUUGGAUGAUCACAAGUACGAAUUUUUGGAGGAUACCUGGAUGUUCGCAGGUAUCGAAGGGGUACCUAGAUGAUUGCAAGUACUAAACUCUAGAAAAUGGAAUAUCGAUGACGUACCUGAGAUAUUCGUGAAGGUCUCUCAUCUUCUGGUAUGUGGGAAUAUCGAUGAUGUACCUUGGAUAUUUGUGAAGGUCUCUCACCUCCUAGUAGUUGGAAUAUCGAUGACGUACCAUAGAUAUUCAUGAAAGUCUCUCACCCCCUGGUAAUUGGGAAUAUCGAGAACGUGCCUCGCAUAUUCAUGAAGGUCUCUAACCUCCUGGUAAUUGGGAAUAACUGGACAGUCAUAAACAUCUAAGCACAGAGGACAACUCUAAUGGGUCGAGUGUUAAGAAGAGGGAGUACCUGAAUAGUGGUAGGUACUCGAAGACAUGAUUUUUUUGAAAUAAUGGUAAAGAUAUGUUUACCUGAUGACAUAUCUGCUCUCUAAAAGUAUGUCUGCUAUUUGCACAGUAUGCACACAUGAUUAUAUAUGCUAUAAAUUCAUGAAUUUAAAUAUGAUUCAUGCAUGACAAUCUUGUCAGUUUUGCAUCAUCCAAAUUCCACUGGGAAAUUUGAAAGACAACAUUCAUUUAGAAUGUAGAUGUCUUGAGCAUGCCAGAUGAGGGACUUUCGAUCUAAAAGGACUUUCUGCUCACUCUUAGGGGAAAUGCUAUUUUAUCCUGACCAUUGAUGUAGGAUUUAUAAUGACCACACUAUCUCACUGUCAUCAUGUCAGCAAUGGUCCGAGUAUUCUCGCAAGCGGUACGAUUUUACCAAUGUGAGAGGUCUUUGUUGAAAUUGUGGUGAAGACUUAGUCAAUGGCUCAUCAAAUGAGACCGUCGAGGGCAAGGCUUAUGAACGAAGUGCCGCACGAUCAUCUCCGGGUUUACAAGUCAAGAACCCUGCAAAAAGAGAUAGAGUAAUCUUAUUCGUACUUCUUCGAGCGAUGCUUAAUGUACAUAUGAAAUCCUAUAUUAAUUGAAAUGCCCUAGUCUAAAGAGACUUUUACAAUGGGAAUGUAACGUAAACUUUGACUCAUGUGUAAGAGGGUGAGAGUUGGUGAUUAGCUUGGCACUUGUCGUCGGUCUUUCUUCUCACUGUCAGAUGGAGGUUUUACAACCGCAACUUUUUCUUGGUUGUUUUUUUUACUGGGGGGCAUCAGCCUUGUUUUUACUAGGCACACUGCUUUUUCAUGCCCCUAGUUUUUAUUCCAAUUUUUCAUUCAUGGGCAUUGACCUUGCUUUUACCAGAUAUACUGCUUUUUCAUGCCCCUAGUUUUUUUGUUGUUAGAGAAACUAGCCUAGGCAAGUUCAAUUGAAGCACCGUUAGUAGACUCUUAAGUCUUCAUCUUCAGCCGGCUCUCUAGGCUAUGGCAAUGACUUCUGUUUUGUCUCAAUGUGAGCAUAAAAUUACAGACUCACUUGGGCUGUACAAUGAAUACAAGUGCGUAGAGAAAGAAUUGUUCUGUCAUUCUAGGGCACUUAAAUUAACGCGGGUAUUCAUAUGCAAUAAAGACACCCAAAGAUUAAUGCAAGUGUGAGCAAGAAAAUUUCUAUCCCCUUUCUCACCAUGUGAUAUUGCUUCGCUUUCAAUCUGCCCCAGUGUGGGGUGGUUUUUGAUGGGGGGUAGGACAGAAACUUCAUUAGUGUAUAAAGUUCAAAGGGGUGAGCAAUGAAAUACCUCUCACUGUUUUGGUUAUCAUACCAUUCGCGAGAGAACUCUUUAUCUUGCGGUCAUGGAAUCUUCUACACUCAUCUCACAAGUGCAUAGAUGAGGGAUUGUGUGUAGGAUAUGUCUUGCCUUUCAUCAUUCUGACGCGCCUCAUUCAACAUGCUCAAUCAAUCUUGUAUUCUUCACUUAGCUAUUUAUUCUAAUAAUCCUUAUAGAAUUAGUGAUUUUAAACAAACAAAAUCAUCAUGCAAAAUCCAUUUGGAAAAGGCAUGCACCAUUUUAAAUAUGAUGGAGUUUGAACUCUCAAAACAAAUUAAUGGUUUUUACUCAAGAAACCCUAUUAACGGCUUUAGGGGUGUUAACUUGGUGGAAUUGUAUUUACAAAUGUGUUCAAUUUUGAACAUCAAAAGAGUUAUUCACAAAUGGGUGUCCAUGAAUUGUUCUUAUUAAGUAGGGAAAUGACACAAGAAGGAUUAGUUGGGGUUGGGGAUCUGAUCAUUGAUUUGACGGGCCUUUCUACUUUUGCCCCUGCAAAAGAGAAGAUGUAAAUGGAUUAAUCAGUAGGGCUAAAAUUAAAAGUGAAUUGAGGCCUGAGGGAUCUCUGUCAUUUGCUUUGGCGAUACUUGAGACGCCAUUUUGUUUGGGAGAGCUUAUUAGAGUCUAACAUGCCUCUCAUUGAUUUGUUUUCUGCAUCUUUGACAGUCAGGUGAUCCUGAGGCAUGAGGAGGAUAUGAAGUCUUGCACUUUGCUUCAUUAGGUCAAUUAUUCUUUGAAUUGGCUUCUAGAUGACACGUCCUUUUAUACGAAGUUAGGUGAAUUAGAUGCGGGUCAUUUCCAUGUACUAGCUUGGCCAGUAUUGAUUUGCCAAACCUGACCAUCAAGUUUGGCUCUUGAAUCUCAAUGCUUCCUACCGAUAAGGAAGAUAUGUCAAAAAUGAGUUCAGAGAGAGAGUAUUGGAAACGAUACCAAAUUACCCAUUCCUAGAAUUUGUAUUUGUUGACUCCUAGGGAUCUCUAUAUGUUGAUGACAGUUUCUUCAUCUUGACACAAUUCGACAUCUCUUUCAAUUGGCCUUUCUCAUGCGUGGCCAUAUAUGCAUGAUUGAUGGUCGUUGAUUCAUCUUCAACGACUUCCUUCUGUGAAAUUUUUCUUCUGUCUUUGACCGUAUGAUUAUUAGUAGCAUUGAGCAAAGUCAUGUACUUCAAGCUUCUAUGGAAUCUAAGAUGGAAAACCUCCAGUUUUCUGAUAGCAAUCACUUCUUACGAGAGCAUGCGUCUGGAACAAAAAUUGAGGUUUCCCAAUUCCAAGGUCAUUGUCUGGGAUAGAGGGUUUCUUUUUUAACCGGACUGAUUCCUAGACGAUACAUCUUUUACACCAAGGUAGGCGAAUUCAACAUGGGUCAUUCCUAUGCAUUUGCCUAGGUAAUAUUGAUUUGCCCAAAUUAUUCCAUCAAGUUUGUUGCCUGAUUCCCGACACUUCCUUAAAUGCUGGUGAUUACCAUUCAUUCUUCUGCACUGAAAUAACCAAACACAUUUUCAUGAUGGUGUAAAUACAUCACUCAUAUAUAAAAGGCGCAUAGGCAUUUUCAUUCCGAUAGAGAAAUGCUUGGCAAUUACAGACAAUGAACAUCUUUCAAGGGUAGUACUUUUUUACAGCACCAGAAUUGACCGAUUUGGAGAAUUCCCACCCAUCCAUUUCAGUUAGGAUCAAGGCUCCUCUAGGGAGUAUCUUCUUUAUCACAUAGGGACCCUUGCAAUUUGGGGCAAACUUGCCUCCGGGCUCUGGAAAGAUUGACAGUGUCUUUCUCAAGACUAGCUCAUUUACCUCAAAGUGCUUGGGUAGCACCUUUUGAUUGAACGAUCAAGUUACCUUCUACUGGUAACACUGACCAUGACAGAGGGCUUUCAGUCCUUUUUUUCGAUCAUAUUCAGUUGCUCGAGCCUUUGUUGUGUCCGUUCUUCCUUGGACAAUCUUGCCUGGGAUAAAAUUCGUAAGGAAGUGAUUUCUACUUCUACAGGCAAAACUGCUUCCAUGCCGUAAACCAGGGAAAAAGGGGUUGCCCCAAUGGAAGUUUGAAUCGAGGUUUGAUAUGCUGUUAGAGCGAAGGGUAACCUCUCAUGCCAGUCACGGUAGUUUUUAGUUGUCUUGGCUAGGAUUCUCUUGAUGUUCUUGUUGACGGCCUCCACAGCUCUAUUCAUUUGUGGACGAUAAGGGGAUGAGUUCAGAUGUUGGAUUUUGAACUUAGAAAACAAUUUAUCAAUCAACUUGUUGUUCAGGUUUGACCCAUUAUCGGUGACGAUAGUUUCCAAGACACCAUAACGGGCGAUUAUAUCACGUCUAAUGAACUUCAUAAUGUUUCGUGUAAUUACGCUUGCAUAGGACGUGUCCUCGAUCCAUUUUGAGAAGUAAUCGAUGGCAACCAAAAUGAACCGGUGCCCGUUUGAUGCCUUCGGAUUGGUUGGGCCAAUUACACCAAUGCCCCACAUUGAAAAUGGCCACGGCUCAAAUAACUGAUGCAGUUCAGCUGGAGGGACAUUUAUCUUGUCCCCGUGAAUCUGACAACGAUGACAGCUUUGCACAUGUUGGGCACAAUCGCUCUCUAAAGGGAGCCAAUAAUAACCCACUCUCAUUAUUUUCUUGGCCAACAUACGUCCAUUCAUGUAAGGGCCACAUACUCCCUCAUGUAUUUCUUGCAUUAUUUGUGUGACUUCAGUUGCAUCCACACACCUUAGCAAGAUUGAUUCAUAUGAUCUUUUGUACAAAUUUUCACCGCUGACAAAGAACCUCGAAGCCAUUUUCAUUAGGUAUUUUCGAUCAGAGUGAGUGCUUUCUUUAGGGAAUUCCUGCUUCUAGACGUAUUUCAUGAUAUCGUAAUACCAGGGUUUCCCGUCGGGUUCUUCAAUUAUAGUCAUGCAGUGGGCCUGUCUUGCCAAGACUUCAAUCUUUAAAGACUCUACUUCUAACCCUUUCAUUACUUGCAACAUAGAUGAUAGCAUUGCUAGUGUAUCAGCGAACUGAUUAUGAAUUCUAGGUAGGUAUUCAAACGAGGCAUCCUAGAAUUCUCCCACCAAUUCUUCCAAGUAGUCGUGAUAAGGCACCAAUUUGGCAUCUCUUGUCUUCCACUCGCCUAAAGUCUGGAGGAUAAUUAAGGCAGAGUCAUCGAACACUUUUAGUUUUGACACUUUCAUUACAAUAGCCACUUGCAAGCCGAGGAUGCAUGCUUCAUAUUCGGCUAUAUUGUUGAUGCACAGAAACAUCACUUUUGCAGCUACAAGAUAAUGUUGCCCAUUUGGGAAUAUCAAGACCGCCCCGUGCCGGAACCUGACAAAUUUAUAGCUCCAUCGAAGAAUAUAGUCCAAGUGUCUUCUUCUACUGUUGAAAUCCGGUCGUCUGGGAAAUUAUCCUCGUGUACUUCCUUAGGGCAAUCUGCUAACAUAUUGACAAUCACUCGACCUUUAACUGAUUUUUACAACAUCACUUGGAUGUCGAAUUCUGAGAUCAGGAUUUGCCAUUUGGCCAAUUUUCCCACCAAGGCCGGGCGACCAAGCAAAUACUUGAUCGGGUCACUCUCAAUUAUAAGGAAUGUUUGGUAAUGCAAGGUAUACUAACAGAGUCUGUAUAACACCCAUACCAAUGCAACGCAUGUUUUUUCUGAUUUGGAGUAGUUUUGUUCCGACGUGGUGAACUUUUUACUCAAAUAGUAAAUGGCUCGCUCCUUCCCGUCAUGGGGCCCUUUCUGUACCAGCAUUGCACCUAGGGAUUUACUAUUGGUGGUAAGAUAGAAAAUUAAAGGGUGCCCCAGGACUGAAGGUACUAGAAUCGGGGGUUUCAUCAGGUACUGCUUUAGAUUUUCAAACGCCAAUCAGCAAUCAUCAUCCCAUUUAAUUUGUGCAUCCUUCCUGAUAAGUUUAAAGAAAGGUUUUACAAUUUCAGAAAGUUGGGAAAUGAAUCGCACAAUAUAAUUUAAUCUUCCUAGAAGGCUCCAGACUUCUUUUACAGUCGAGGGAGGAGGCAUCUCAAAUAUCGCUUUAGUUUUUUACGAGUCCACUUCUAUCCCUUCACAGCUCACGAUGAACCCAAGUAAUUUGCCAAAAGUUUCCCUGAACACACAUUUCGCUUGGUUCAAGCGUAACUUGAACUGGCGAAGCCGAUCGAAUAAUUUCUCUAGGGUCUUCACAUGGUCUUCUCCAUGUCUGGUUUUGGCAAUCAUGUCAUCGACAUAUAAUUCAAUUUCUUUGUGCAUCAUGUCAUGGGAAAUGGUGACCAUGGCACGUUGAUAAGUUGCUCCAGCAUUUUUCAGGCCAAAAGGCAUGACCUUAUAGUGAAAAGUUUCCCAUGGAGUAAUUAAUGCCAUUUUUUCCUUGUCUUCCUCCUUCAUUUUUAUUUGGUUGUAUCCCGAGAAUCCAUCCAUGAAAGAGAAAUGUUUGAAUCCAACAGUACUAUCCACAAGAAUGUCUAUGUGGGGUAGCGGGAAAUCAUCUUUUGGGCUUGCUUUGUUCAAGUCGUAGUAGUCAACACAACCCGAAUUCGACCAUCCUUCUUCUUCACUAGUACAAUGUUCGCUACCCAACUGGGGUAUCGUGAGACUUCGAGGAAACCCACUUCUAUGAGCUUCAUUACCUCUUAUUCAAUCUUUUUUGACAACUCUUGCUUGGUUCUUCUUAGCCAUUGCUUCUUAGGGGCUACAUCGAGGUUGGUUGGCAAGUUAUGCUCCAUGAUCAUUGGAUCGAGGCCUGGUAUAUCGACAUAUGACCAUGCGAAUACGUCUUAAUACCUCUUUAGGAGUGCAAUUAACCUUGAAGCUUCUUCUUUAGGAAGGUUCGCGUUGAUCUUUAUCUCCCUUGGACCUUCUGUGCUGCCUAAAUUGAUAGUGAUGGUGUCUUUAGUAGUAGGGAGCCUUGCUUCUUCGCAUAGCUCCCAAUUCCAUUGAAUUUCGUCGGAAUCAUCAAAAUCAUCAUCUGAGUUACUAGAAUUGCUAUCAUGGCUACUUACGGUGUUGAUUUGGACCGUUCUCGUACUCUCGUUUGCUGCUAGAUUACUCCUGUGUCAUAAAGUAGAUAGGCUAAGGGAACAAAUAAGGUUAACAGCAUGCAUGCUUCUUUUUUUGAAAAGGUGAUGAAUUGUUCUUGAAGAUUUAAGAUGAGGAAGCAUGAGGAAACCUGGGCCUUAGAUUUCUUCUUUCAUUUCGUGGUUGGAUAUCAUCAACGGGCCAAUUUGGUGUGUCUCCUUAUGCCCUCAAAAUAUUUUCAACUUUAUUUGAUAGUAGGUUGAUUUACAUUUUGGAAGAGUGAUUUCAAAAGUUAGUUCCUUAAGUGGAAGUGAUGUUGAAAACAAAACAAACCAAACUUAAGAAAUAUGUACAAGCUCCCACGUAGGGGAGUAUGCAAGGGAAUAAAAAAAAUGUUCUACUCGAGCGGGCCUGCACCCAUUUCCCCUGACGGUCCUUCGUUGAUAGCGCCCACGAAGAAGUCUUCAUACCAGGCACCAGUCACGCCUCCUUGUGCUCCUAGCUUUAUGAAUUUCAAAUUGUCCAUGCCUCCCCAUCCAUCAAGGACAAUGCUUUGAUGAUGGUCAUAGAAACCUUGGGGGAUCGAAUAGUUGACAUAGUAGUCGAAUUUACCACUUGGUUGGCCCAAAGUGUCCAUGAUUGCCUUUCCUCUAUGCGUUUCCUUAGCAUGCUUAAGGAGAAUGGUAUGUGUGACAUCCCGAUUUUUCUAAUUCUAUUUUCAGCUGAUUGAGUCGGGCAUUUCAUCUGUGCAUAUAGUUCGUCUCUCUGAGUUGGCCACUCAUGAGAGGACUAACCUAUUGGACGAAGCAAUUAAGGGAUUUUAACGCGUCAAACUUGGGGACUGAUCACCCUCAGGUCGGAUGCAAGAAAAUUUCCCCGAAAGCUACCCGGGUGGUUAGGCAUGCUGAAAUCGCACAAAAUUGAAUUUAACCGUAAAAAUUUGGAAUUGAAUUUAGAAGUUGGAAGCUUGGUUAUGUCACACAUCUCAUUAGGAUCAUGGGAUAAUUUUUGUGGAUUUUAAUUGGAUUCAUUUAGAAGAGAAUUGAUGGGAAUUGAAGAAAUUGUUGCACAAAGUUUUAUGCCCCGGCGGAAAAUGAAAUUGGACCCAUUGAAAUAGGUUGAAGAGGAAAUGAGUUAGUGGAUGAUGACAUCAUAGAGUGAUGUCAUGGUGGGUGGCCAAUUGGUGGAGAUCUUGACAAGUGGAGGGGUGGAUUUAAUCCCCAAAAAGUGAAGGGCCCCACCACUUCAUCUUCAAGCUUAGGAAGAGAGAGAAGGGGAAGAGGAGCUGCUGGUGCGACCAGCAAGCUCGUCCGCUCACUCGGCCGCUCGUCGCCGUCGCUGCUUGCACGCCAUCGUUGCCGCCGUUUGCACCGCCGAGCUGCUCGCUGUCCGCCCGCACCACCGUCGCUCUCUCUCUCCCGCUCCUUUCCGUUCGUCGCCCAGCAGACGAGUGAACCAGAGCAGCCCCGUCCGAAGCCGCACGCCACUGGAGGAGCCUCUGCCACCGCCCGUCGCCGCCCUUGCGCGCCGUUGCUGCCACGCGCCUCCGCCUCCCUCAUGCCGUCGUCCCUGCAUCAGCCAAGUUCCAGCGGCCAUUUCAGAUCUGGUGGAGCUCCGAUGAAGCCGUCCAGCCGCCCGUUCGUCGUCGCCAAGGCCGCCGGAGGCCUACCUGGCCGCCGUGAGCCACCGCCCGAGCUGCUGCCCCUCUCCUCCGCCCAUUCCGACCCAAACCGGCGCCGGAUCCGCCUCCUCCAGCCCCAAACCAGUAGUUGCAAAAAUGGGUAUGGCAGCGGGUGUUUGGCCUGUUUUGGCCGCCUUCCCGAGCCCGAAUGCUCGGCCCGCCUUGAGGAGAGUCGAUCCUCGCGUCGUCCUCGUCGUUUUGGUCCGCUCGGCUCGCUAAUCCGGUGAGUUUAACUCACUAAACCUUGAUUAGAGGGUUAAUGAUGCUUUAUGGGUGCUUAGUUUAUGUUAAGUGUUAUUAGGUGGUUAGUUUAAUUUAUUUAAGUGUAGAUUAUAUUAAGGUGUUUGAUUAACUUAAAUUGUGUUUAAUUUAAGGUUAAGUGAGUGGUUAUAUUAAUAUAAACUGUGAUGUGACAUAAAGGAAUUUACUUUUGAUUUAUUUAAAUAUUUCGAAAUUGUUUAAUAAUUUAAUUAUAUUAUAUUAUUCGAAAUUAUUAAAAUAUUAUUAUUUAAUUAUUUUCGGAAUAAAUUUAAUUAAUUAUUAAAUUCCGAAAAUUUUGUCAAGACCCUAAAUUCUCAGAAUUUCGUGCCAGUCGCUGCUGUGUAGUCAGAUUUUGAAAUUGAUGAUUGGAUAUUAUAAAUUGAGUGUGGAUUGUGAAAAGUAUGGAUUUUAUUUAGAAAAUCCCAAGGGUCGAGUUUGGCAUUGAAAUUGGAUUGUUAAUGGUUAAUAUUGUAAUUGGAUUAUGUGAGUGAAAUGUAAAGUAUCCAGGGAUCGGUAUCGAAUUGUCGUUUGCUAGUUGAAAGGCUCGGGUCGCAGUAGUGGCGAGACCGACUGGAUCCUUAUUCUUAUAGAAAUGCCGUCAAGAGAAUGACGUGGCUUGGUCGCAGUAGUGGCCAGACCGACUGGACCUUUAUUAUUCUAGAAAUGGCGUCAAGAGAAUGACGUGGCUUGGUCGCAGUAGUGGCGAGACCGACUGGACCUUUAUUAUUCUAGAAAUUCUGUCAAGAGAAUGACGUGGCUUGGUCGCAGUAGUGGCCAGACCGACUGGACCUUUAUUCUUCUAGAAAUGCCAUCAAAAGAAUGACGUGGCUUGGUCACAGUAGUGGCGAGACCGACUGGACCUUUAUUCUUCUAGAAAUGCCGUCAAGAGAAUGACGUGGCUUGGUCGCAGUAGUGGCGAGACCGACUAGACCUUUAUUCUUCUAGAAAUGCCGUAAUGUUAGUAGAUAGCCGACCCGCGAGUAGGCUAUGCCCUUGUGUGGCAGUGAAUAAUAAUUGGAAUGCGUGCUAAGUGCGAUCGUGAUUUAUAUGAAAGUGAUGGCGUUCCAAUUGUUUGAAUUAUUAUUAUUACCUGAGAUUGUGUGAUACAAAUUGUGCUAACCUGCAAGAAGGAAUUGAGGCGAGGUAAGUUCUCUAUGUGAUGUGGCUAGGCCACUCUUGGGCGUAUUUUCUUUCUAAUAGGGGUUUAGGGGGUUGAACUUGCUGAGACAUUGUCUCAUCCCGGUUGUGGGAUUAAAAUUUCAGGUUCCUGGUGGACGGAGCGGCCAGAUAGCUUUGGUUGGCCUUGAGGAGUUGCAGAGGUGAAGUCAUAAGAUUGGAGAACGUGUCUGACUUGUAGGUCGUAGGACAAUUCAUUUUUAAGAGCCGGUCUUUUGUAGACUUUUGGCCGUAGACCUCUGUUUGUAAUUCUGUUGAAUUAUGGAAGUGUUAUGUUUUGGUUUUGCUUCCUGCUUUUCUAUCCUGUAUUUUAUUGUCAGGGGUUUUAUAAUACGUUCCGCUUGCGCAUUAAUAAAUGUAUGGGGUCGGCGACACUACCUGGGAAUGUCGCAUUUGCAUGACCAUGGUGGGAUGUUGGCGCGCUCGAGGUUCGGGGCGUGACAGUAUGGGUGCUAGGUACCACAAGGAGGUAAUAUUUGCCAUAACAUAGCCACGAGGAGCGGAACGUGAAUACCCAAGCAUCCAAAAGAUCCUGAAUCUUAUAUCUUAGGAUGGUACAGUCAUCUAGCAAGUGUCCUAAUUCCCCAAAAUGAUAGUCAUAGUACUUGGAUGGAUCAUAAUCAAGGAAGUGCUCGGAAGUAGGACAUCUCAGUUCCCUAGAGAUUAUUCCUUGCUCUAGGAGGAUGGGGAAAAUAGUGACCAUCGAUUCAGGAAGAGGCAAAUAUGGCCACGUGUUUCUUGAGGACUGGGGUAGCCAAGCCCCUUGCCAGAUCAUGUUAGUAGGGUAUUCUUCAUUUACUUUGGCUACCAACUCCUCAUUGUGACGAGAGAGGAAUGUACGGGUAGCUUGAGCGAAAUUUUCUAUCAAGUGGUGUACUGUCUUGCAUAGUUCAUCAACUUGACUUUAAAGUUGGGUGAACGAAAAUUUAUUGCAUGUUUCUUCUAGUUGUUCCUCCUCAAUGGAACCUAUGAAAAGGUCUCCAAUCAUGAUGGUCACGUCAUCCGGCCCUUCUUUCUUUGUAAGUACGGGAUGAGUUAUGUUCUUUUGACCUAUGCCCAAGUAAAUGGGAUACUUCAGGCUUUCAUGGUUGAAUUGUUUUGGAACGCUGAUCAUUUCUUCUUCCUCAUGCAUCAUCUUCGCAGGGCCUGGGAAGGUUUCCUCAAGGUGAGGGUAUACAAGGCCAGCCUUCUUUUUUGCCUUUUCUUCCAAGUGUUGUUCCUUAUAUCCUAAACCGCUGGUGUGGGGUCUCCUCAAGGCUUUGAUAGGCUCGCGGAUGCCUUGGUUUCCCUUGCUGAGCCCUUGACUCGGGACAAAAUUGUAUCCAAUCAUGAUUUUCCCUACCAUGAUUGCAGCGCUUGAUAUUUCGAGGACGAGGGGUGGAGUUCCUCGAGUUUCAUGUAUAGCAGACACAAGCUUAAACGAUUGAUAGCUGGAUUCAUUUUUGUCACAAGGUUCAACAUAAGGGAUGGUUGUCUUGUGAUAGAUGCGGUGAUCUUUUUCUCCGCAGACCGUGAUCAGUUUUCCUCCAACCAUGAACUUUACAUUUUGGUGGAGGCUUGAAGGUACUGCUCUAACAACGUGGAUCCAUGGGUGGCCUAAGAGGAAAUUAAACGCAGUGGGGAUAUUCAUCACUUGGAACAAAAUUUUGAAUAUGGUUGGACCUAUUUGAAUGUCAAGCUCGAUUUCUCCCACUGUUUCCUUCUUCAUUCCAUCGAAUGUUUGAACGAAAGUCUUGGGUGUCUGGAUCCGUGAUGUCUCUACUUUAAGACGACAGAGUAUCGCUAGUGGACAUAUGUUAAGAGCAAAUCCAUUGUCAAUCAGUACUCGAGCAACGUGAGAUGCCAACGUGAGAUGCGUUGCACUUGAUUAAUAUGUAGAGACCCUUGGUGUGUCCUUUACCCUCAUCGGGGAUCUCUUCAUCAAAAAACGCCAUUUGAUCUUUUAGAAGGAUGGUACUGACAAACUCGAGGAGUUUGUCAUGCUCAAUUGUUUCAGGACAUGUACUUCAUGAAGGAUUUCUGGUGCUUGACAGAUGUUUGAAGUAAUUCUAGUAGAGAGAUAUGUGCUGGCGAUUUCCGUAAUUGUACAACCACAUUGUACUCGCUGGCUUUAACUACGGCAAAAAACUCCUUGGCUUCUUCGUCAGUGAUGGGCUUGGCAGGCUACAUAUUGGCUUGAGCAUAGGUUUGCCCAAAUCUCGUGACUAAGCCAACAUCGAGGUCGUAAGACCACGGUACUGCAUUGUUGCCUUCGUAUUUGUAAGGCUGGGGGAUCUCAAUGGCUAUAGCUGCUUCUACUAUCAAUGCUUGAAUUAUGGCUCCUUUCACUUCAAAGAUGCCCUCAGGUGGGGUGGAAUCCUUCUUCUCCCUUCUUGCGUUUAGUGCGGCAAAUUCUUUAUCCCAGUUGAUGACGACUUGCGAUAUAGUAGAGACCAUGCCAGUGUGGCUAGCGUACACAAUUAUUCCAGCCUCUAUCAUUCUUGACACCCUUUCUUUCAUUGUUGCUAAGGGUGGUACUUCAUUACUUGAAUAAUACCCGGCUUCUACUAGCCCUCGAUAGAUGUCAACAAUAUGUGCAUUGACACUUCUGAUUUAGCUGGCUUAAGAACUAAAUAUCGCGUUUACUUUGUUGGCAUGAUCGGGGAGCGGAUUGUUUUGGACAUUUGGUUUUGUAGUUUGGAAUGAGAAGGCAUUAGUAUCCAACAGGUUCUGGAUCUGAUGCUUAAGGACGAAACACGCAUCAGUUGAGUAGCCUACUUCUCCCAUGUGAUAGUCACAUUUUUUGGACGGGUCAUAGUUGAAGAAGUUUUCAGCGUUGGGUCGUUUUGGCUCCGUUGAGAUGAGGUUUUUGUUUCGGAGGAUUGCCAAAACCUAUGAGAGAGAUCCAGGAAGCGGAGUGAAUUGUCUUCCGUUGUUAUAGCGCUAGGGUGGUUGACAACUGGUGGUCUGUUAUUGCCCUGUGCUUGUCUGAACGGUCGAGAGGUGACCGGUAUUUACAAUGUAGGUUGCAUUGACAUCUACCAGAGGUUCUUUGUCUUUUUUCAGGUUGAGCCUUUUGCUGAUGGGUGCAGGCUUAGUGAACUAGCCAUCCCUUAACCCUAUCUCAAUCUGCUCUCCUACUAGAAUGAGUUGAUUGAAUGAUUCGGCUGUGGUAUUCAUAGGGGAGGGUUUUGAUGAACAUUUUUCUUAGUUCGAAAUCAGUUGGUGUGGGACUGAUCUGGGCGGCUAGGUUCCUCCAUCUAAUAGCAUAUUCUUUGAAAGAUUCAUGUUUUUUCUUUUCCGUGCGCUCGAGAUCUUCACAAGAAGGGGUAAUGUCCAUUAUGAACUUGUACUGCUUGAGGAAUGGCUCACUUGCUUCACUCCAUGUUUCGAGGAGGUUUGUAUUUUUUGUGAUGUACCACCUUAGGGCGGGACCUAUUAGACUUCAUUAGAACAACUGGAUUAUUAGAGGUACAUUAUUAAUGUACUAGGUCAUUCGAACCAAGUACAUUAGCAUAUGAGCCCUUGGACAAGUCGUGUCAUCGUACUUCUCAAACUCAAGCAUUUUGACCUUGGAGUAGAUUGAGAGGUUUGUUGGAGUAGGAUCUUUGAGGCCCUGUAGUUGUUUUAGCCUCUCUUCAAGCUUCUCGAGGCGUUUGUCAUGCUCAGUCUUAGACAAACUGUUGGGCUUUGCUUUCUCAACUAUGAUUUGGUGCGUGUCAUCCUCCAAUUCGGGCAUGUUAUCGUCGGUAUCUCUUCCUUGAUCACCUCGAAUAGACGAUUGUGGUAAUAAUACUUCGAUUGAGGUCAAGGCGGGAGCCAAUUUGCUUUGGAUGGAAUCUAUCUACUUUGAGAGUUGUUGAAGCACAUUGAAGACCUGCUUCAUUUCAUUUUCCAUAAUCUCGAUACGGCUUGGUACGUUCUCUUCAGCCAUUCUAGCUUUUGGAUUUGGCGAAUGCGACUAUGUCGUGAUUACCUGCAUUGCACAAAAUGGAGAGAACGUAAACGAGGGAAACAUAUGGAAUACUAGCCCAUGGCAAGGGUCGAGUCAUUUUAUUUAUUAACAGGGGAUUUAUACAAUGCCAAAAAGGCUUUUUAAAUAGGGUAGAAUGAU